rnacentral:lncRNA from 1 species
UAUUCCUUCGCAACCUCAAAAUCCGUCUCGCCGCUUUCGUUGCUACCGACGUCGAGGUCUCGGUAAUUGAAAAACGCUUCCCUCGGGUUGCUUGACGCAUACGGCGCCAUCGCAUUGUACAACCUCCUUGACAUCUCGACAUAACGCCCUGUGCCGUCGGACUGGGACCAUUGGAUCCUGUACAGCACUAUGAAGAGGUUCCCACUGCGGUGCGCAAAGGCUGUCUCCGACUCGGAUAUCUCCUCCAUUCGCCCACCGUAAGGGUUAAAUUGCACGAAUAUGUCUUCAAUGUCCAUCAACACUUGCCAUAAGGUCUCUAACCCUUGUUUGGGGAUCACUGCUUUGUAGUAAUCGGACUUGCUCUUGUAAAACACUCUGUUUACUUGAACUCUAUCGAGCAACACAUCAAUGGAGGUUCCAUUGGGGAAACCCGCCCAAUAUAAGGACGAUUUGACCCAACUCAUCUCUAGACAAUCAUUUCUGGUCAAACCCAAUUCAGAGAAUCUUACGUUCAUUAAUCGUAAAAGUCCAUCAGCUUGUCCCAGAAAAUGGCCGAUGAAUGAAACCCUAACAGUUUUAUUGUUGCCGCCAUUGUUGAUAGGCACAGGCUGGAGUCUAAUGAAGAGAUCUUUGGGCAGUUUAGGAGCAACUUGUUGCCAACGAUAAGCCAGCUCCGUUGCGCCUUGUUCCAAGGUCCUUUGUACGUUGAAAACAGUGACCCUAGGUGGGACACGAACCAGCUUGAUCCGCCAUGAAAGGAUGAUACCGAAGCUAGUAGUUCCACCGCCUCUUAUAGCCCAAAACACGUCUUCCCCCAUUGAUUUACGGUCAAGGAUUUGACCUUUAGCGUCGAUCAAUUGUGCAUCGAUGACAUUAUCAAUGGAAAGCCCGUAUUUUCUUAUUAAAAAUCCAUACCCACCUCCACUGAAGUGUCCACCAAUGCCUAGAGUGGUACAUACACCAGAUGGGAAUCCAUGGACUUCGCUUUUCUGGGCUAUACUAUAAUAAAGUUCGCCGGUAGUAGCUCCGGCUUGAACCCAUGCAGUCUCGGUUUUCAUGUCGAUAGCUAUAGAGUUAAGGUUGAACAUAUCGAGGAUAACAAACGGGACGUCGGAAAUAUACGAAAGUCCCUCGUAAUCAUGUCCGCCACUUCGAAUCCUCAGUUGAAAACCAUGACGCUUAGCGCAAAUGACCGCAGCUUGUGCAUGGGAUGGAUGUAGAGCGGUUAUAAUAGCCACCGGCCUUGAAGUCGCAGAUGAUAAGAUUCGAAGAUUGUUAGCACGUAAUUGAUAAAUAGAUCGGAAAGAUGCAUUGUUGGGAGUCAAUAUAGCGCCAACAAUUGAAACAGAAUGGUCGGAAUGUUUAGGAAGGCAUUGAAGAAAAGCAUCGAAAUCGACCGGAUUGUAAGAUGCUGCCGAUGAAAUGGACAACAAAACGAAAAUCGAAACAAUGAAACAGGUGUAGCUUGAAGCUUUCAUUUUGGAAAUAAUGUGAAGAGAUAUGGUAAUGGUGCAUUGUUGUUAUGGUAUAUAUAAUGGUGAAGGUGUGGCAUUUGGAUCAAAUUGGAAAGCUUAUCUAAAUGUGUGAAAGGUUUAGAAAGCAUACGAAUUAUAAGUUAUAAAACUUUUCAACAACGAAAUUCUUGAGGGUAAAUUAUGAAAAUAGUCACUUUUGUUUGCCUUAAGUUACAUUUUAGUCACUUAUAUUUGAAAUGUUACGUUUUAGUCACUUACGUUAUCGUAUUGUAAUAUUUUAGUAACCGAACCUUUAAUUGUCGUUAACGGUGUAAUGGUAAGUUGAUGUGACACAUUAAAUUAUCAUUUUAAAUGAAAAUUGCAUGUUAAAUUAUACAAUUGGUUUAUAUAUUUUUUCGUUUUAAUUUAAUAUUUUUAAUUUAUGUUCUUUUAACUUUUCUUUUUUUUUUUUUUUAUUUUCCAUUCUCUUCUGCUACUCCCCCUGUUUUCCUCCCUUCCCCAUUUCUUUUAAUGUAAUUUUCCUAUAUUUUCCAUUUAUUAAAACUAGUCCUUAUACUUUUAUUUUUUUGAACAAUUUAAUUUUUUCUUUUUAUUUAUUUAUUUUCCUUUUAAUUUUUCUUUAAAACUAGUUUCAUAUUUUUCACUGCAUAAACAUAAUCUUUGCCCAUCAAAUAACCCAAGUUAUUUUUUUCUUUCACGUGUUUCCUAAAUUAAAUUUCACUCAAAACCUAAUAUUUAUCAUUCUUAAUCAAAUCUCGAUUUGAAUAUAACCUAAUUUUGAAACUAAAAUUGGAUUUGACUAAUCAAUAUAAAAAACCAUAUCCUUAAUAAAAUCUAAACAUAAAUUUAAUUCUUUAUAUUCAAAACAAAAUUUUCCGUUUUCAAUUUUUUACAGAAUAGUAUAGAUUAUUCAUUUCCUUUUAUUUUAUUUUCUAAUGAAUAAAAUUAAGCAAACUAUAAAAUUGAUAUAAACCUUCUUGGAUAUUCCCAAACAAGCUUGAUUGGAGGUCGAGCCUGGAUGAACAGAAGAGAGAAAGGAAGCAAGGACUCAAAUUGAUUUAGGUUAUGUUGAGGGUAGUUUCGUAUGGUAUUUGUUUUAGUCAUUGAGAGUGUAGAGUUCGUUUGAAGAAUCCGUGAAAUAACGUUGUUUCGAGAGGAUGAGAAUGGUGUAGGUAAGGUAAAUAAGGUGGUUGUGGGGGUUGGUUAGGAGGUUGAGGGAACAAGCUUGUGAAACUUUUUUUAGGCUGGAUUGCCAUAAGUCAUGACUGGCUAGGUCUUCAAGUGAGGCGAGCUUGUAGGCUAAGUCAUAGAGAGAUCCAAAUUGAUUUGUUAAAGCGAUGAUGGAUGAUAAGAGUUUGUAAUUGUGGGGUGAGAAUAUGCAAAGCAAGUUUUAUUUUGGUUUUAGCUUUCGCCUUUUCUUUUUUCAUAAACAUAAAAAAGUUUUAAUAAAUAGAAAAUAUAGAAAAACUACGUUAAAAGAAAUGGAUAAGGUAGGAAAAUAGAGGGAGAAGCGGAAGAGAAUGGAAAAUAAAGAAAAAAAGAAAGUUAAAAGAACAUAAAAGAAAAAAAAUUUAAUUGCUCAAAAUAAAAAAAAUAUAGGGACCAAUUGUAUAAUUUAACCUAAAAUUUUUGUUUGAAAUGAUGAUUUAACAUGUCAUGACAGCUUACUAUUACACCGUUAACGGCAAUUAACAGCUCAGUGACUAAAAUAUUAUAAUACAAAAAAAAAGUGACUAAAAUGUGACAUUUCAAAUAUAAAUGACUAAAAUGUAACCUGAGAUAAACAAAAGUAACUAUUUUAAUAGUUUAUCCUUUAUUUUAUUAUUAUUAUUAUUUAAUACAAUAUUUGUUUUCACAAAAAUAUAAAAUAUUCAAUCAUUCUUGAAACAGGGGAAGCUAGGAAUUAUUUUUGUAGAAGGGGCUAAAAUAUAAUUUCACCUUUAUUAAUUUAAAUAUUUAAAAAUUAAAAGAUUUAUGUAAAAAAAUUUUCUAGGUGCCGGCACGCUAUGCCCCUGUCUUGGAAUCAAUUAAAAAUUGUUAUUAAUAGUAAUAAGUUACUAUUACCGUACCUAUGUUUGGUUCAACUUUUAAUUAGAGGGUUUAAUUGAAUUUUAAAAGGAAAUUAAGUUUAUAAACUAAAUUUUAUAAAAAUAGAAUGCUGAAUAAAAGACAUAGAUGUAUAUAUAAACAUGAUAAGAUUUUUUUUUUUUUUACAUACCCCUCUAUCAGGGGACAAUUUAAUAGUUAGGUAGAGUUCUUGACGGUGGUGUAGUUGGGGACUGGUGGAGGAAUGAGUCUUUUAUAAUUUUUAAAAUUAAUAAAAUUACACUUUGACUCUUUAAAAUUUAUAAACAUUCAAGCAAUUAAAAAGAUAAAAUUAUAUUUUUAUUAUCGUAAAAGUUACAUUUUUACUAUCGUAAAGUUUGCAAUUUAAUUUCGGUCCGUCCUAAAAAUAAUUUCUGGCUUUGCUCUUGAUUCUUGACCUCUCAAAAUAAAAAAAUUGUUUGUUUAGUCUCCUCUAAAAUAGUAGAAUUAUAAAUUAAUACAUGAUAAAACUAUACUUUGAUCCCUAGAAAAAAAAAUCUUUCUAAUCUCUUAAAAAUAAUGAAAUUAUAAAUUAAUAAAUGAUAAAAUUAUUUUUUGACCUCUCAAAAGUUUAUAAUUAAAUUUUAGCCACUUUUAAAAGAAUUUCUAGAUUCACCCUUAGAUGAAAAAGGACAAAUAAUUAUCAAGAAAGAGCAAAUAAUUAUCUUCGAUCCACACCAUAAGAAUGCGAUCCCUAUGACCUGAACCCACAAUUUGAACAAAUCAUUGCCAGGCACAGGUAGGAAUUCCGGCGACUUGCGACUUGAACAGACAGUAUGAGCUGUAGGGUGAAGACUUAUAACCAAUAAACCUAACGUUGGAGUUCAAUGAGAUAUUUAUGCAUAUGUAAUAUAAUUAUUAUGGUUUUUAAAAUUUAAUGUUAUAAAAUUUUUUAUUAUUUAUUAAUAUUAUUAAGCUGAAUUCAACUAGAUAAAUAGCUCGAGCUCGACUCAAUAAUUAUUGAAUCAAGUUUGAAUUUCCUUCGAGUUGAACUUAAGUAGCUUCUGAAUCUUAUUGUCUCAUUUAUACUCUAUUUCAAAUUCUCUACUCUCCCAAAAACACUUUUUUUUUGUGUGUAUGAAAAUGACGGAACCAAGCUUUCAGGAAGAGUACAUUGCCAACUAUCCUAUAAUAAAGUUUGCCGGUAGUAGCUCCUACUUGAACGCACGCCAUCUCGGUCGACAUGUCGAUGUCUAUAGAGUUUAGGUUGAACAUAUCGAGGACAACAAACAAGACGUUAGAAGUUUACGGAAGUCCCUCGAAAUCAUGACCACCACUUCAAAUCCUUAGUUGAAAAUCAUGUCUCUUGGCGCAAAUGAUAGCGGCUUGUGCAUGAGAUGAAUGUAGAGCAGUUAUAAUGGCAACCGAUCUAGAAGUUGCUGAUAAUAAUGGUCGAAGAUUGCUAGCACAUAAUUGGUAUAUAUAUUUAAAAGAUGAAUGGUUGGGAAUUAAUAUUGCAUCGCAUUUAUUGAACACGUUGCAAAUACCUUAGACGACAAUCGACGAGCAAUUGAAGAAUAGCCAAAACAGGCCCGACGUCGGGACAAGGAGCGUUGGCUUGUUAGGACGAUACGAUGGACGAUGUCAUGACGAGGCCAAUGAGACAUUGCGAUAUCACGAUGUGUUCUCUCCUAUUUGGCAACCACAUUUUAGAUUUUAAAUAGGACUUCUUCUUUUAGUUAGAUUCUGAUUAUUUCAGAAAUAGUAUGAUUAGAACUUUAAUUUUAAUCUAUUUAAAGGGCCAUCAUAUCCUUAUUUUGAUAAGCCAAUGAGUAAUGACUUUUCUUUGAGAGUGACAAAAUGUAGUUGCAUAUGAAUUUUGGUGAAAGUUUCGUGGCAACUAUCGAAAUAAUUUUGUUCAUAUUUUACUCUUGUUUGUUUACUCAUUUAGUGAAAAAUCCAAGCCUCCUUUAUUCGUGGUUUUUAUUUCUUUGAGGGCUUUUCACUAAAAUAUUUGUGUUCGUUUUUCUCUGUAUUUUCUAUUUUGUUGUUUAUAUGAGUCGAUCCCAACAUUUUGCUUUUAAACAUUAUGUGACAAUGUUCUAUUUAUUUAAAAUUUUUUAUUUUAAAAUUAGCUACAUAAGAUUUGAUGUGUCAAUAGUUAAAUUAAUGGUUUUAAUAACAAAAUGACCUGAUUUAUAUAAUCCUGAUCUUUUAAGGAUGUAAUUAGAAUAUUUUGAAGUUUGGGACCAAUUUAGAUUGAAAGUUUGGGGAUGUUUAGUACAAUUAACCCUACAUAAUAUUAAUUGAUUUCAAGAAAAUUCAAGAAUUAAUGUAAAAAAAAAAUUAAAAUUUUAUAUAUUUUUUAUUCUUUUAAAAAAAUAGAUUUUAUAGAAUUAAAAUUUUAUAUUUGGGUCAAAUAAAAAAUUAAUAUAUAUGGAAAAAAGUCGAAUGAAGAUUUUAUUCAAUUUAAAACCAAUAUAAAAAACAAAAAUGAAUUUUCUUUAUUGAAAAGUCUUAGAAACAUGUUGUUGAAAGGUGGCCCAAUCAUGCUGCUGAGAUGUCUUUGUUUAAUGUAUGCAACUUGUAUGCAUGAUGCAGCUCGUGUGUAUGCAGCAGUAAUAUGCUUUGUGUUUUAGUUGCAAUGUGAUGUUGCUUAGAAAAUGAACAAGUUUAAUGACAACUUGAUGCGUUUAGGUAAUAGAUUGACUUGUUUUAGUAUACAUGUUUAAGACUUCAACAAUUUGAGAUAAGCUCUGAGCUGAUCCAAACAGGUCCCUCCCCUCUUUAUAUAUAUACCCCCCUCAAAUCAUAAUAACAAUGCACCAAUACCAUCUGGAAAAAAAAAUGAAAAUUUCAAGCUCCAUCUUUUCCCUUAUUUCAAUCUUCAUUUUGUUAUUGAUUUCAUCGGCCACAUCUUCCGAUUUUGAUGGUUUUCUUCAAUGCCUUCUUCAACAGUCUAAUUCUUCUCUUCCGAUCAUCGAUGCAAUAUUAACUCCCAACAAUUCGACUUUCCAAUCUAUAUACCAAUUACGUGCUAAUAAUCUUCGAACCUUUUUAUCAGCAAUUUCGAGACCGGUGGCCAUUAUAACCGCUCUACAUCCAUCCCAUGCACAAGCCGCUGUUAUUUGCGCCAAGAGACAUGAUUUUCAGCUAAGGAUUCGAAGUGGUGGUCAUGAUUUCGAGGGACUUUCGUACACUUCUAAAGUCCCAUUUGUUAUCCUCGAUAUGUUCAAUCUAAACUCUAUAGAUAUCGACAUGUCGACUGAAACAGCGUGGGUUCAAGCAGGAGCUACUACCGGCGAACUUUAUUAUAGGAUAGCCGAGAAGAGCAAUGUCCAUGGAUUCCCAUCGGGUGUUUGGACCACUCUAGGCAUUGGUGGACACUUCAGUGGAGGUGGGUAUGGGUUUUUAAUGAGAAAAUACGAGCUUUCCAUUGAUAAUGUCAUUGAUGCACAGUUGAUCGACGCUAAUGGUCGAAUCCUGAACCGUAAAUCAAUGGGGGAAGAUGUGUUUUGGGCUAUAAGAGGCGGUGGAAUAACGAGCUUUGGUAUCAUCCUUUCAUGGCGGAUCAAGUUGGUUCGUGUCCCACCUAGGGUCACUGUUUUCACCGUGCAAAGGACCUUGGAACAAGGCGCAACGGAACUGGCUUAUCGUUGGCAACAAGUUGCUCCUAAACUGCCCAAAGAUCUCUUCAUUAGACUCCAGCCUGUGCCUAUCAACAAUGGCGGCAACAAUAACACUGUUAGGGUUUCAUUCAUCGGCCAUUUUCUGGGACAAGCUGAUGGGCUUUUACGAUUAAUGAACGUAAGCUUCCCCGAGUUGGGUUUGACCCGAAAUCACUGUUUAGAGAUGAGUUGGGUGGAAUCGACCGUAUACUGUGCGAAUUUCCCCAAUGGAACCUCCAUUGAUAUGUUACUCGAUAGAGUUCAAGAAAACAAAGUGUUCUCCAAGAGCAAGUCUGAUUACUACAAAGCAUUGAUCCCCAAACAAGGGUUAGAGACCUUAUGGCAAGGGUUAAUGGACAUUGAAGACAUCUUGGUCCAGAUGAACCCUUACGGUGGGCGAAUGGAAGAGAUUUUGGACUCGGAGACCGCGUUUGCACACCGAGCCGGAAACCUCUUCAUGGUGCUGUACAGGGUCCAAUGGUCCGAGUCUCACGGAGGGAUCAACACCACGGAACGUUACGUUGAGAUGUCGAGGAGGUUGUACGAGGCAAUGGCCCCGUACACAUCGAGCAACCCAAGAGAAGCGUUUCUCAACUACCGAGACCUCGACAUUGGCAGCAACGAAAGCGACGAGACGGAUUUCGAGGAUGCUCAAGAAUAUGGCGCUAAAUAUUUCCGAAACAAUUUCAUAAGACUAGCAAAAGCGAAAGCCACGAUCGAUCCUGAGAAUUUCUUCAAGAACGAGCAAAGCAUACCACCAUUGCCUCAUUGAAAUCCUGGCCUUCUACAAUCAUCUAUAAAUGAAAACCAAAUAUCUUAUGAAUUUGCUUGUAAUUUUAAACAUAUCAUGCUCUUCCAUGUAUAAGAAAUAAGAAUAUCUUUAUGUGAUUUUGUUUGUGUAAUUCAAUUUUACCAUGCAUUUCACAUUUCCAAAUUAUGAUUCUUAUUUUCAAUUAAUUCUCAAAUUUUAAAAUAUUUUAAUUACAUCCUCAUAUUAUUGAAGAAGGCAACAUCAAAGGGUUGGUAGAGGCCAAGCCCCCUAGAAUAGGAAAAUAUCACAUUGGCCCUUUCAUAAUUUAUAAAAUUAUAAAUUAGUAAACAAUUAAAUUGUACUUUGACCUUCAAAAUGAUAAUUAAAUAUUAUAAAUAUAUAAGUUAAUACAAUGGAUAAAUUACAUUUUAGCUCUCAUAAAAACACAAAACUCGCCUCCUAAAAAAACAUAAUUUAUGGCUUUACCCCUACUAUCAAUGUUAUAUGAAUUAGAUUCUUUCAUUAUCAAUGUUAUAUCUUAUGUAAUUAAAUUUAAAAUGAAAAUUUUAAAUAAAUAAAAAGUUGUCUCAUAACAUUUAAAUAAAAUAAAAGUCCAUUUAGUCCAAAUAAAACGCUUUAGCAGAGUAAACCGGAAACAAACGAACUUAACACCGGAAAAAUCACCGAAUAUAAAGAUAUGAGCAUUGGUCGACAUGAAGCUCUAAUAUCCUAAAUAGAACAAAAUCAAUAGCAAAACAUUUGUUGACAACAAACUCCCAAUUUUGCAAGACUACCAUUAACGAAGCUAUUCGCUUCUCGACGCGUCUGAACAAAGUUAACAUUACCAAAUUCGUGCCCAAACAAGUCGAAAGUCUUACAGUAUCUCCAAGGCCUCAACAAAGGUCUUAAAAUCCAUGUAAUAGAGUUCAGUGAAUCGGAUUCUAUAUAUAAUUAGUGUAACAUCACUUUUACAUGGAGAUGAGGAGAAGAACUAAAGGGUGGCAACAAUCGCCUUUAGUGCUGCUUCAGCAAGGGACAAGGCAGCAAUCGGUCCAAAAAAACACCAUGCACCAGUCCGUCACUAACCCUCAGCACACCACCUUUACCAGCGCAAUUAGAGCCAAUCGUCUAAGCUCCAUCCACGUUAAAAUUCAGAAUUGAGACACCAGAGCAUUUGGCACAUGGUACAUAAGGCCAAACGACAGUCGGAUUAAAAUCCGCGGGCAAAUUGGAAAACACCAACGAGACCACCAAAAAAUUUAAAAAAACUGAUUACCAUGCAAGUUCACCAUUCGAGCAUCAAGAUUCAAUAAGCCACCAAUCUUAUGAGUAACAAGUCACCCAAAAAUUCAGAAAAUAUCCAGGUUCUCUUAAAAACACCACCACAAUAAUUUCUUGCAAACUCCCAAUAAAUAUAGAUUGACCAAAGCUAGAAAAGCACAUAAUAGAAACUAUAGAGAGAAAAAAAUAAUGAUCCCUUGUGCUAUGGAAACGGAUAGAAAAUGGACCAUGAACUUUUUCAAUAUUUCCUAAUCCACCUUUUCAUAACUUAAAAACUCACUAUCAUUAUAACUUGUAUAACUUGCAUAGCAUCUAUUGAUACGAGUAACUCAGCCCAAUUCAAAGGCCAUAAUAGUGAUGAGUUUAGUUUUCCUCAAAACCCAAUUACGAGAUCCAAAUCCAAACAAAUAAAGUCAAAACUCAACUUAGUGGUUCAAGACUUUAUCACGAAAAAAAUUCAAGAAGAAGAGUUGAAGUUUCAAGACAAUAAAUUCUGGAGUAAUGAUGAAUUAGAAGAGACUAAUUAUGUUUGUGGGCCUAAACUCUCAAUCUAUGACGACAAGCCCAUGUGGAAAAUGCUAACAAGCUUAAACAUUUCACUUCAAGAACCCCAAUUGAUCUUACAAGCUUAGACAUUUCAUAUUGGGUUUAAGUUUUAGGCUUAAUUUUUUUUAUAUAUAAGCACAAUAUUUUGUUUAUUAGCUCUUAUUAUUUUAUUAUUAUUUUAUUCCGAAUUUUUGAUAAUUAUUAAGUAUUUUAAGUUAUUUAGGAAUUUAUGUUAACAAGAAAGUUUAGUUUAAAACUACUUCUUGUUUAGAUUAAAUUAGAGUUCUAGUAUACUUAGGAGUUUUAUUUAGAUUUAUUUAUCUAGCCUAUAUAUAGGCCUUUGCAUUGUACACAGGGAGACAAUUGAUUAUUAUUCUAUUUCUCUUUUGAGUUAAUAAAUUCUCUUUGAGUUUUUUCUUUUCAAGAAUUUCUCUUGAGUUUCUUUUAGAAGAGUUUUAACAAUCUUUUUAGAUUGUGGGGAUCAUCUUUAAACUUUUUCUUGCCAAGGUUUUUAUCUUGGAGGGGAAAUUAGAGCCGCUUGAAGGGGGUUGUGGAUUCUUCGUGUUUCCAAGGCUUCUUAGGACUUCUACACGCCACGUUCUAUCUUUCCAUUUAUCUUCUUUAUUCACUUCCUGAAUCCUUGAUUUAUUAUUUGUUUUAAUUAUUUUAUCUAACUUGGAUUUAAUUUCGUUUUAGGUUGUGUCAAGAAAAAUCCAAGUUUCUUUCCGAACGUCUAGAGCCCUAAGUCAAAUCCGCGACUUUGACAAACUUUACGAUCCGCUUUCGCGUUCAUCCUUCUCAACCUUUAUCAUUUGGUAUCAGAUUUGGGCGUUUUAGGUGUUCUUUUUUAAAUUGAUUUCUCGAAAACAGCUUCAAAACAAAUUUUACCCCUAUAGUUUUCAAAAAAAAUAUUUCUCAGUGGGUAAACGAUUUUCAAAUGAUCUAAAAUAUUGCAUACUAUUUCUUGGCACUAUUUUAAAGUAUAAAAAAAUAUUUCCCACAAAAAAAGUGAUAAAAAGUACAAAAAAUAAAAUACGAAAAAAAAUAAAAAAAAUUCUGUGGGUUGAAUUUUGUGCCGAAACUUUCCAGAUCAAAUCUACAUUAUUUGAGGAGGCUUCAGUUUAAAUUUUGUGAUUUUUGGAAAUCGGGAACACCUUGAACGAAGUUUGUCAAGUUGCUUCGCAGUUUUUCGGGUUUUCAGGUUUCAACAAUUUUCAUUGACUCUUAGCUUUAAGUAUUCAUUUGUUUUCCUUUUUAUUUGUUCCUUACGCAUUCUAACACUUUCUUGUUUCUUGUGUUAGUAGGUUAAAGCACGUUGCAUAUUCCUUCAUCCGUGCAACAAAAUUUUUUGAUGUCUAAGCAAAUUUUGGACUCAUAGUGCUAUUAGGUUUGCUUUGAUAGUUUGAUUCUAAAACAUCUUGAUUGAUUGAUAUAGACACUUUUAAAAGACUCACAAGAUUAAUUCUUACCUCAUUGAGAAUUUUUUUUUGAGUGCAUAUAGGUGAGGUUUGCUUAAUUUUUUCUUUUGAAGUGUUGUGCUUUUCCAGGCUUUCACUAUGACUCGUGACACUCGUGCCCGUAAAAACCAUGAUGAGAUACCAUCUGAUGACAAAGAACAAGAUGUUACAUUGGAGAAUAUUGUGGGGAUGGUAAAAUUGCAACAUCAACAAUUGAACGAGGUACGUGAUACAUUUGAGGCCAAUUUGACUACGUGUCAACAAAACUACAAGAGAACAUUAAUCAGCUUUCCAAUCAUAUUCAAUUGCUCACUCAAGCUGUUGCUCGUUUGGAGACUUCUUCGAAUCGACGAUCUCGUGCUCGUGAUAGUGAUCAUGAUAGGGAUAAUGAACAACUUCGUAUUCGUUCUAAUCCUGGUAGACACGAAUAUCGUCACAUUGAUGAAACUUUGGGUAUUUCUAAUCAAGGCCAUCCUUCUGUCGCUAAACCAAAGUUCAACAUUCCACCAUUCCAAGGAAAGUAUGAUCCAGAUGCAUAUUGCGAUUGGGAGGAUAAAAUGGAGAUCAUGUUUUGUUGUUAUAAGUGUCUGGAGGAGGAGAAAGUUCCAUUAGCUAUAUUGGCAUUUUCUGAUUAUGCAUUGAGUUGGUGGACUCAACUUGUGUUGAACCGCCAAAGGAAUCGUGAACGAGAUGUUGAUUCAUGGGAACAGUUGACACAAAUCAUGUGAAAACGUUUUAUCCCACCUCAUUAUUAUAGGGAUAUUAAACGAAGACUUCAACGCCUUGUUCAAGGUAAUCGAUCUGUUGAUGAGUACUUUAAAGAGAUGGAGAUGCUUAUGCAUAGAGCAAAUAUCCAAGAAGAUGAGGAGACUACCAUGGUGCGGUUUGUAGAUGUUUUGAAUGUUUCGAUAGCCAAUGUUCUUGAUCUUCAAACCUACACUGAUCUUGAAGAUACGGUACGUAAGGCAAUUGAGAUUGAGCGACAGUUUCAACAACGUCAAUCUCGUUCAUUUAGUACUUCACAAUAUUAUAGAGGUACGAGUUCUAAUUCUACUUUCAAGAAUUCGAAAUUUCCUUUUGCUACUAAUAAGUUGCUGCCAAAACAUGAUGAGACUAAAUCUUUUGAGGGGAAAAGUGGGGCUCCUACAAAACCUUCUUCUUCAUCUUCUAAGCAGUUGUAAUGGCGUAAAUUCAAUGUUAUCGGAACAGUGGUUUCGUAACUACAAAUCCGAUUUAAAGAGAAAUUUAUUUCAAUAUUUUUGCUUGAAAAUUUAUAUGAUAGGAAAAUCGUAUGAAAAUAUUGAUAGGAAAAUUUUAUCAAUUUAAUGAUUAGUUAGAAAAAGAAAUUAUUGAAGAAAUUGGGUAAAAUAAGGUAUCGGGACCUCUAUCUCGUAAAACCGAGUCAAAAAUAAUUUUAUAAAUAUUUAUGAAAUGUUAUUAAUGUGGUAUUAAAAUUUCGUUAGGAAAUUUUAAUGUUUGGGUAGUCAAUUAAAUGAAAAGGACUGAAUUGUAAUAGGUGUAAAAGUUGCUAGAGUGAUUAAAUAGCUUAUUAGUCUAAUGAGAAAGGAUAUAAAAGGCAAUUAGACCCAAAAUUUAUUUGGGCUGGACGGCAAGGGUAUGAAAUCAGCAGAAAAAUUGAUAAAUUAAGGGUAAAAUUGGAAUAUUGCAAAAUUAACUAAAUAAAACUAGGACUAAAUAGGAAAUAUCUAGAUUUCUCUUCAUUUCUCUUCAAUUCCAGCAGCUAAAAACGCCAUAGGAGGGUUCUAUAAGCUGGUAUUUCAUAAUUUUUGCACCAAGUGAGUUAAUACUUGCCUUUUUCUUGUAAUUUUUGUGUUUCUAAGACUUUUACAACUAGAUCCUACUAUUAAAUUCAUUAGUUUUUGAUUUCAUGGAUGAAAUUUAAAGUCACCAUGGUUGAGUGCUGUAAGUUUAUGAUGAAAUAGAAUGAAAUUAAAGCUUUAAUUUGUUUAUGAGAUGAUUUUAUUAGGCAAUUUCAAUGGAAAUUGAUUUUUGGGACCUAAUUGUGAAAAUGUUUGGAAUUAAAGUCUAUUGCUGAAAUUCUGAUUCCUAAAGGUUGUAAACUAGUUUAAGGUGAUAGAAUAAAAUGUUAAUUGAGAAAAAUCAGCUCAAUUGAGAGACUAGUUGAGUAGGGACGAAAUUAUCAUUUAUUAAAAGCUUAGGGGAAAAAUGGUAAUAAACAGCUUGCACUAAAACAGUUUGGACAGCAGCAGUAGACUAAAUUUGAAAAAUCACCAAAAAUUGUAGGAAUCGAAUUAGGAGAUGAAAAAAAUAUGGAAUUAAAGCUUAUUGAGUCUAGUUUCUCAUAGAAGAAAUAUUGUAAGCAAUGGGUUUGUAAAUUUUGAGAUAUAAUGAAUUUUGUGAGAUAAGGUCAGAAUGAAUUCGGGUUCCCCUGUUCUGACUUUGAAAAAUUAUAAAAAAUUGAAUAAAAAUAAUUAGGGACUUAAAUUUAUAUGUCUAGAAUUCUGAAUGAGUAUAUUUUUAAUAGAAACAAACAAGAACAUCAUUUGAAUUCUGUAUAAAGAGAUAAUUUAUUUUUAGUGAAGAAGGGUCAGAACUAUUAGACAACAGAACAGGGGUGACUUUGAAGAAUAAACUGUACUGAUUGGCUAAACCAAAAAUUAUGAAAAUUUUAUGGUAAAAAUAUAUAUGAGUCUAGUUUCAGGGAAAAUUAACGGAUCUUAAUUUGGAGUUCCAUAGCUCAAGUUAUAAAUAAUUUAGUGACUAUGACUCAAGUAGACAGCUUUGAAUGAACUAUAAAUAAUAGUUGAAUUAUAGAGAAUGUUGCAUAUGAACAUGAAAUGUAUUAAAUUGAUAAUUAAAUUUAUUUAUUUAGAUCCAGAAGAUUCAAAUACGAAGCUAGAUCGAGGAAAGGAAAAAGUUCGGGAUUAAUAGAUUUUUACUGUUUACAAACAAGUAUCAAGGUAAGUUCAUGUAACUUGAAUUAUAUUCUUAAAUGCUUGAAAUGCAUGUUUUUUAUAUGAAUAUGAUUUGAAUGUUCAUUGUAUGAAAAUUUAUGAAACAUUGAUAUAUUUGAUAAAAUGGGAAGAAAUCCCGUUUGAAUGAAAGGAAAAUUUGAUGGAUCUCUGAAAAGGAAUUGACGGUAAAAAGGAUCUAGCCCGGACGGGUGAUCCUAUCCUGAUAUAGCCCUCCCGAAGAAUAUGUGUAAAAUGGAUUUAGCCCGGACGGGUAAUCCGAAUUAGGGUCUGAAUUUAGCCUGGACUGGUAAUUCAGAUCCAAGCUCAUUAGAGUAAUUGUCGUUGCAGGAGAUUUAGCCUGGACUGGUAAUCCCGACAAUACUCUAUGAGUUUAUAUUGCAGGGGAUUUAGCCUGGACUGGUAAUCCCGCUGCAAGGUUGAGGUUCGCGGGAGUGUGCUCUCUGAAAUGGAAAUGUGCGCACAUGAAUAUGAAUUGACGGACCCGGAAUUGUACACUAAAAGUGUACCUCUGAAAAUCCAUCGAAAAUUCCAAGAAAUUCAACGGAUAAAUAUGGAAAAAUAACAAGGAAAUGGAAAUCAUAGUAUAUAUUAUUGGUACAUGGAAAUUAUUGUACUAACUUGAAUGUUGAGUUUGUGCAUGUUAGGGUAAUAAUGCAUUAAAUGGAUAUAUGAAUGUUUAUUAUAUUGUAUUGAAAAUAUUAGGUAAGUAUAAUUCUUGUUACAUGAGCUUACUAAGCACAAAGUGCUUACCCCGUUUCCUUUUUCCCUGUUUUGUAGUGUUAAGAGCUCGGACGUCGGAUUUGGUCGGAGACACAUCACACUGUCAACCUCAGGAUUUCGGUAUAUAAAGAAACUUUAUUUUGGAAAUCAAUGGCAUGUAUAAGCUAACAAAGUAAAUGUUAACGUGAAAUGAAUGUAAAGUUAGCCAUUAGUAUGGUUAACAAACCUGGUUAUAGAUAUGUGAUGACGUUAUCUUAUAUAAAUGCAUGAAUCUAUCAUGAAAAUAUGUUGAAUUGAAAAAAAAAAUUAAUUCGUAAACUCCGGUAAUGCCUCGUACCCUAUUUCGGCAAUGAAUACGGGUAGGGGUAUUACAUUUAUUGGUAUCAGAGCUACGGUUUAGCCGGUUCUAAGACCGAUGUAGCAAAUACGGGAUUAGCUAUACAUGCCAUUUAAAUUAUUAUUGACAGUGUGAUAUCUCCUGACCAUUUAAAAUGUGUUUUUCUUAUAGUAAUGUCAUCCGACCGAGCUCAAUCUGAGGAAGUUGGGAGUCAUGCUCCGGCUUCAGUACAAAGAGAAGAAACUAGCAGUAGAAGGCUCGAGACAGAGGGUCGAGGGGAGGAGGCAAAAACAGCCUUCUUUCAAAUGAUGAAUGAAUGGUUUAAUCAAUACUUAAGAACUAACCCUGUAGUGCAGCAAGUUCAAGCUCCCCCUCCUGCUCCUUCACCGGUUCCCGAGAUCCCACAAGGUACAGGUACUGAAUCUGUCAGAAAAGGGAAAGCUCCAGUAGAUAAAAUUCGAAAAUAUGGGGCCGAAGAAUUUCGCGCAACAGUUGAUGAUGAUUCCGAAUGGGCUGAAUUCUGGUUAGAAAAUACUACUCGGGUUCUGGAAGAAUUAUCUUGUACACCAGAAGAAUGCCUGAAAUGUGCCGUCUCACUGCUAAAAGAUACAGCUUACCAUUGGUGGAAUACUAAAGCUUCAGUUGUUCCGAAAGAAGAAAUUACAUGGGAAUUCUUUCAGACUGAGUUCAGAAAAAAAAAUAUCAGCCAGAGGUUCCUUGACCAGAAAAGAAAAGAAUUUCUUGAGCUAAAACAGGGCAAUAGAUCAGUAUCUGAAUAUGAAAGAGAAUUUGUUCGAUUGAGUAAAUAUGCUCGAGAAUGGGUACAGUCAGAAGUUGAAAUGUGCAAACGAUUCGAAGAAGGGUUGAAUGAAGACAUUAAGUUAGUGAUCGGAAUUCUUGAAAUUCGAGAGUUUGCUACAUUGGCAGAGAGAGCUUAUAAAGCAGAAGAAUUGAGCAAAGAAAAGAAACAGGCUGAGAGGGAAGCUCGAAUUUUUAGUAAAAGACCAAUGGGAAAAUCCCAGUUUUCUGCUUCAAAGAAAUUGAAGAAAUAUCAGGAUCGUUCUACUUCAGCCAUUGGGUAUUCGGGCAAAGAACGAGGUUCUCAACGCAUUAAUCCAAGGCCUUCUACUCCAUCAGUGACCAGUGUUGGCAGUGUUGACACUCCUAAACCGAGAUGCCAGUACUGUAAUAAAGCUGUAACACCCCUUACCCGAGACCGUUUCCGGAGUCGAGCACGAGGCAUUACUUAGCUUAUCUUACCAAUUCGGAGCAUAAAAACUAGGUUUGAAAAUUUAUUUCAUUAUUCGCAGCAAAUCUGUCCAAUCGCGCAGCAGUUACUAAAUUAAUUAUAACUUGAGCUACAGAACACAAAAUUUAAUUCCGUAAAUUUUAUCUGAAACUAGACUCAUAUAUCUACUCACCAUAAAAUUUUUAGAAUUUUUGGUUCAGAAAAUUAGUACAGUUUAUUAGUUAAAGUCUCCCCUGUUUCACCACCUGACUGCCCUGACCUCUAGUCACUAAAAAUAAGUUUUCUCACUGUAGGAUUUUCAUAUGAAGUUAUUACUUGUUUCUACAGAAAAUAGACUUAUUAAGGAAUCUAAGCAUUUAAAUUUCAACUCAUAACCAUUUUUUUACAAUUUUUAAUUAUUUUCUAAACUCAGAACAGGGGACUCCAAAAACAGUUCUGACCCUAUCUUACUAAAAUUCACAUAUCUUAAAAUAUAAAUUUCCUUUUUCUACACCGUUAUUUUUCCAUGAAAAUAGACUCAACAAGCUUUAAUUCCAUAUAUCAUUCACCCUCUAAUUCAUUUUAUACUAUCUUGGGUGAUUUUUCAAAUUCACGUUACUGUGCUGCCUGAAUUCUGUUUCUUUGCAAAAUUUUAUCCUUUCAUGAUUUCCAUGCAUAAUUUAUCACCUAAUCUUUCAUAACAACAAACACCUUCAUCCUUAACCAUUUUAAUAACCAUACAUCAUCAAAUACUUACACAUCACUCAUUAGCAAAAUCAUCAUUACAAACAUACAAAAUAACUAAAUCCCUAUACAUGCCAUAACUCAAACGUGUUUCGAUAUAAAAUACCGAGCAGUUGUAGUUGAUAGUGUGGACGAUCUCUGACUUCUUUAGGAUCCUUGAAGUAGCUUUGCAAUACUAUAAGAGAAAGAGAAAUAAAAGAAGUAAGCAUAAAGCUUAGUAAGUUUACUAGCAAAUAAAUAACAAUAUUUAACUUAAAUAAUUAAACUUAAUGUCUAUAUCUCUAGUUUACUCUUUAGUUAAUCUCAUACUAGUUCUCUUACUUGUUUACUUAGAAUACUUGUGUGCAUAACUUACUCAAUCAUUGCUGCAUCGUUGAACAUCAAUUGAUAGUAUAAUAAGUUCUUAAGUCUUACAACUUACAUGAGUUUGCCAUUUAUGCUUUAAACUGAACUUUCAUGAACAUGAUUCGUUUACAAGCCCGUUGAGCUACAUUGGAAUAAUAAGGAUACUCGGGUCUCUUCUGAUAAUAACAUGCCAAAGCCAUGUCCCUGACAUGGUCUUACAUGGGAUGUUCUCGUGAUGGUGCCCAUGCCAUGUCCCAGACAUGGUCUUAUAGGGGAUCUCUCAUCUCGGUGCCAACGCCAUGUCCCAGACAUGGUCUUACAUGAGACCUCUCGUCUCGGUGCCCAUGCCAUGUCCCAGACAUGGUCUUACAGGGGACCUCUCAUGAUCUUAAGGAUGCCAAUGCCAUGUCCCAGACAUGGUCUUACAUGGGAUCUCUUUACCCAAAUGUCAUGACAUUCGUAUCCAGUACCAUCCUUAUGUAUCAACGGGACUUUUAAAUUUUAAUUCUCUAUCAUUUCAUACUCGGAUCAUCAUCAAAUAAAUUCAUAAAAUAAAUUCAUAAUUGCUGGAAAUUAACAGCAUUAAUAAUAAAUAUUGAAAUAUUGCAUUUAUUUACCGUAAACUUACCUCGGUACCAAUUAUAGCCAAAUUCACCAACUUAGUCUUCAACUUUAUUCUUCCCUUUGUCUAACCUCGAGUUUCAUACUUCUUGAUCUAAAAUAGUAAAUUUAACUUAUUUAAUAAUCACAUUCAUUAAAACAGCCCUCGACUCUAACUUUUUCAAAAUUACAAUUUUACCCCUAAACUUUUACAUAAUUACAUUUUUUCCCCAAGGCUCGGAAAUUAAACUUCAUCUCUUAUUAUUAUGUUUUAUAACAUUCUGAACAUUUUUCCCUUCUAUGGCAACAUCAAAUUCCCACUCUAACAUGUACUUAUGAACAUUAGGUAUUUUUACCGAUUAUGUUGUUUUACUCGUUUUCACUUAAAAUCGCUUAGCAAAAGUUGUUUAACAUAAUUUCUAGCUUCAUAUUCUAUCAUAAAACAUCAAAAUAAACACUUUUCACCUAUGGGUAUUUUUCCAAAUAUAAACCCUAGGUUAAAUUAUUGCUAGAAUAAGCUAAAUUAAGCUACCGGGAUCUCAAAAACGUAAAGAACAUUAAAAACGGGGCUUGGGAUCACUUACUAUGGAGCUUGGAAGUUUGAAAACCCUAACUAUGGCUUCCCCCCUUGCUGAUUUCGUUCAUAUGAAGAAGAUGAUGAUUUUUGCCAUCUUUUUCCCUUUUAAUUCAUUUUAAUUACUAGAUUACCAAAUUGCCCCUAACUUAAAAAUUUUCUAUUUCACUUAUCUCAUGUCCAUUUUUGUCUACCAAGUUACCAAUGGUAUAAUUACCAUAUAAGGACCUCCAAUUUAAAGUUUCAUAACAAUUGGACACCUCUAACAUGUAGAACUCAACUUUUGCACUUUUUACAAUUUAGUCCUUUUGACUAAAUUGAGUGCCCAAACGUCGAAAUUUUCGAACGAAAUUUUCAAAAAAUCAUUUUGUGAAAUUGUAGACCAGAAAAAUAUAAGAAAAAUAAAAUUUUUCUCAUCGGAUUUGUGGUUCCGAAACCACUGUUCCGAUAACCUCAAAUUUGGGCCAUUACAACUCUCCCCCCCUUUUUAGGAUUUUCGUCCUCGAAAAUCUUACCAGUAAAGAGAUUCGGGUAUUGCUUCCUCAUUGUCUCUUCCGGUUCCCAUGUUGCUUCCUUAAUCCCGUGCUUUUGCCAUAGCACUUUCACCAGAUUUACCUUUUUGUUUCUAAGCUCCUUUGUUUCUCGUGCUAAUACUUUAACCGGUUCUUCAUUAUAAGUCAUAUCCGGCUGAAUUUCUACUUCUGUUGGAGUAAUAACAUGUGAAGGAUCUGAUCGAUACCGUCGUAGCAUAGAUACAUGAAAUACAUUAUGAAUUUUGUCGAGUUUCGGUGGUAAAGCCAAUCGGUAAGCAACUGGUCCAAUUCUUUCUAUAAUCUCAUAUGGUCCGAUAAAUCUUGGACUCAAUUUACCCUUUCGACCGAACCGGAGAACUUUCUUCCAAGGAGACACUUUUAAGAAUACCUUAUCACCCACCUGAAAUUCAAUCUCCCUUCGUUUAAGAUCGGCGUAUGACUUUUGACGAUCGGAAGCUGCUUUUAAACUAUCCCGAAUCAGUCUUACUUUUUCUUCUGUUUCCCGAAUCAAAUCAACCCCGUGUAUCUUCUUUUCACUGAGCUCUGUCCAAUAUAAUGGUGUUCUACAUUUUCUACCAUACAAAGCUUCAUACGGAGCCAUUUUAAUACUAGACUGAUAACUGUUAUUAUAAGAAAAUUCAAUCAAAGGUAGAUACCUUUCCCAAUUACCUUGAAACUCUAAUGCACAACAUCGGAGCAUAUCUUCCAAUACCUGAAUUACACGCUCAGAUUGGCCAUCUGUCUGAGGAUGAAAUGCAGUACUGAAAUACAACUGAGUACCCAAAGCUUCUUGCAAUUUGUUCCAGAAACGAGACGUAAAUCGGGGAUCUCUGUCUGAUAUAAUGGAGACAGGCACUCCAUGUAGUCUAACAAUCUCAGAUAUAUACAAUCCAGCCAAUUUAUCUAAAGAAUAAUCCAUACAUACUGGGAUAAAGUGCGCGGACUUUGUCAAUCGGUCGACAAUUACCCAAAUGGCAUCUUUCUUCCUCGGAGAUAACGGUAACCCAGAUACAAAAUCCAUAGUGAUUCUUUCCCAUUUCCAUUCCGGUAUAGUGAUUGGCUGAAGCAACCCCGAAGGUACCUGAUGUUCAGCCUUAACCUGCUGACAUACUAAACAUCUUGAUACAAACUCAGAGAUAUCAUUUUUCAUACUCGGCCACCAAUACAUCUUUUUCAAGUCAUUAUACAUUUUAUUACCUCCCGGAUGUACGGACAUAAUACCACUGUGUGCUUCGUGUAAAAUCUUCUGUACAAGUUCUGAAUUCUUCGGUACACAUACUCUGCCUCUGAAUAAUAAACAACCAUCAGUUCCAAUCUGAAAUUCUGAAUCAUUACCUGACUCACAAUGCACCCGUUUAGCCUGUAAUUUCUCAUCAUUCCUCUGAGCUUCACAUAUUUGUUGACGAAAUGUCGAUUUAGCUCUCAAUUCAGCUAUGAUUGAACCAUCAUUAGAUAGUGACAACCGGGUAUUCAUAGCUCGUAAAGCAAAUAGAGAUUUUCGGCUCAAAGCAUCAGCUACCACGUUAGCCUUACCCGGAUGGUAAUCAAUAACCAAAUCAUAAUCCUUUAUCAAUUCAAGCCACCUGCGUUGUCUCAAAUUCAAAUCUUUCUGUGUCAUCAAAUAUUUCAAGCUUUUGUGAUCAGUAUAAAUAUGACACUUUUCACCAUACAAAUAAUGCCGCCAUAUUUUCAAUGCAAAUACAAUAGCAGCUAACUCGAGAUCAUGUACCGGGUAGUUUCUUUCAUGUGGCUUAAGUUGUCUUGAAGCAUAGGCUAUUACUUUAUCUUCUUGCAUCAAGACACAACCCAAACCAUUUAAUGAUGCAUCACUAUAAAUAAUAAAUUCCUUAUCCGAUUCAGGCUGUACCAACACAGGUGCUUUCGUUAACAACUCCUUCAAUCGGUCGAAACUUUGCUGGCAUUUUUCUGUCCAUUCAAAUUUAACAUCUUUCUGUAAUAAACGGGUCAUUGGAGAAGCUAUCAUAGAAAACCCUUGUACAAAUCUCCGAUAAUAACCAGCUAAACCCAAGAAACUUCUAACUUCAGAUACAUUCUUCGGUGGACUCCAAUUGACAAUAGCUGAAAUUUUACUCGGAUCUACCCUGAUGCCUUCUGCGGAUACAAUAUGUCCGAGAAAACCUACCUCUCGAAGCCAAAAUUCACAUUUACUGAAUUUAGCAUAAAGUUUCUUUUCACGCAGAAUUUGCAACACUAUUUUCAAAUGUUCUGCAUGCUCAGUUUCAUCCCGAGAAUAAACUAAAAUGUCAUCAAUAAAAACUACUACAAACCUAUCUAGAUACGGUCUGAAUAUCCGGUUCAUCAAAUCCAUGAAUACUGCAGGUGCAUUAGUCAACCCAAACGGCAUAACCAGAAACUCAUAAUGCCCAUACCUGGUUCUGAAAGCUGUCUUUGGCACAUCUGGCUCUUUUACCCGUAACUGAUAAUAACCCGAUCGGAGAUCAAUCUUUGAAAAUACUGUGGCACCUUUCAGUUGAUCAAAUAAGUCAUCAAUUCGAGGCAAUGGGUACUUAUUCUUUAUAGUUACCUUAUUAAGCUGCCGAUAGUCAAUACAUAAUCUCAAAGACCCGUCUUUCUUUUUCACAAACAGAACUGGAGCACCCCAAGGUGAAUGACUCGGACGAACAAAACCUCUGUCAACAAGUUCCUGUAACUGUGCUUUAACUCUUUUAAUUCUGUAGGAGCCAUACGAUACGGAGCUAUGGAAAUUGGGGCAGUUCCCGGAAUCAGAUCUAUAGAAAAUUUCACUUCUCUUUCUGGUGGCAACCCUGGUAACUCCUCUGGAAAUACAUCAGAAAAUUCACAUACAACUGGCACUGCCUGUAUCUUUGACUCAGAUACCUUAGUAUCCAACACAUACGCCAAAUAAACAUCAUACCCUUUUCUAACACACCUCUGAGCUGUCAUAACUGAAAUCAUAUCGGAUAAUCCCUCUGUCUGAUUAGAUUUAACCCAAAGUAAUUCUCCAUUCUGGCAUUUCAACACAACAUAUUUUUGUCUACAGUUUACUACUGCAUCAUGCUGAGUUAACCAAUCCAUGCCCAAUAUCACAUCAAACUCAUCAAAAGGCAAUAACAUCAAGUCAACCGGGAAACAAAUACCUUUUACCAUCAGUGGACAAUUUUUACAAACUUUAUCCACUAUCACAAACUGGCCCAGGGGGUUCGAGACUUUAACCAUAAAUUCAGUAGGUUCAACAGACAAAUUUUUAACAAAUGCUAAUUUUGUGCAUAUAUAUGAAUGUGUAGAGCCAGGAUCAAUUAAUGCAAUAACAGUAGUAUCAUAGAGAGAAAAUGUACCCGCAAUUACAUCAGGAGAGGACGCCUCUUCACGAGCUCGAAUAGCAUAUGAUCUUGCAGGUGCUCUAACAUCUGAUCUAACCGCUGAAUCUUUGAAUGCACCCCUAUUACUUGCCCCCACUCCUGAGUUUCUCUGCAGUCUACCUCUGGUAGGAGCAUUACCUGAUCUCGCACUCGUUAUUUCUUCUCUUUUAGUUGUUUCAGGACAAUCCCGAAUAAAGUGAUCAGAUGCUCCACAUCUGAAACAAACAUUUUCACCUGCUCUACACUCUCCGGGGUGGCGUCUCCCACAUUGAGGACAUUCCGGUCUAGGAGGUCGAGUACUGCCAGUACUUUCAACUGUAGUGGUUUGAGCUCUAAAUCCCUCGAAUCUUCUACUUCUGCUUCGGCCAGAAUAUAUAUGUGGAAAAUGUGAUCCGCUAGAGAGCUCCCUAGGCCUCUUAGAUGUAGACUGAAAUGAUUUACUCAUUUGCCUCUUCUUUGUAUCCUGCGCUCCAGCUUCAGCUUUGCUCUUCUCUUUUUCUUUUAACAAGUCUUCUACUUUACAAGCUCUUUCUACCAGAACAACAAACUCUCUGAUUUCCAAUACACCCACUGAUAGUCGGAUGUCAUCAUUAAGCCCAUCUUCAAAUCUCUUGCACAUGUUGGCUUCGGUGGAUACAAAUUCCCGAGCAUACUUACUAAGUCUGACAAAUUCGCGUUCAUAUUCAGUCACGGACAUCUUACCUUGUUUUAGCUCAAGAAACUCCUUCCUUUUCUGCUCUGUAAAUCUCUGACUGGUGUACUUCUUUCGAAACUCCUCCUGAAAGAAAUCCCAAGUAACCCUCUCACUCGGUACGAUAGACACGAGAGUCUUCCACCAAUGAUAAGCGGAAUCUCUGAGAAGUGAGACCACACACUUCAUACAUUCUUCCGGUGUACAAGAUAAUUCUUCAAAAACCCUGAUGGUAUUCUCAAGCCAGAAUUCUGCUUUUUCUGCAUCGUCAUCUUUGGUAGCCCGAAAUUCUUCAGCCCCUUGCUUCCUAAUCUUAUCAACAGGUGGUCUCUCCCUGAUAAAUAUACCUGCAGCUGGGGAAGCUACAUGGGGAACCUGUGAACCUUGAGGGGGUGGAGGUCUUACAGUCGGAUUCGUACGAACGAACUCGGCAAACCAAUCAGUCAUGGCUUGGAAGAAGGCUUCUCUAGCUCCUCCUCCCUGUCUAUCUGAUGCAGGUCUUUCACUAACAUUAACAUCUGAUGGCACCGUCCCUUCUGCGGGAAUAGGUGCAUUACUCUCUACUUCAUCUGUACUAGCUCGUUCAGGAUCCAUAACUAUAAAAGAAAACAUUUUAAAAUCGUCAGGAGUCGUCACACUAUCAAAAUAUAUAAGUAUGGCAUGUAUAGGUAGACUCUUAUUCUUACUGAGUAUUUCCGAGAACCGACUAAACCNNNNNNNNNNNNNNNNNNNNNNNNNNNNNNNNNNNNNNNNNNNNNNNNNNNNNNNNNNNNNNNNNNNNNNNNNNNNNNNNNNNNNNNNNNNNNNNNNNNNNNNNNNNNNNNNNNNNNNNNNNNNNNNNNNNNNNNNNNNNNNNNNNNNNNNNNNNNNNNNNNNNNNNNNNNNNNNNNNNNNNNNNNNNNNNNNNNNNNNNNNNNNNNNNNNNNNNNNNNNNNNNNNNNNNNNNNNNNNNNNNNNNNNNNNNNNNNNNNNNNNNNNNNNNNNNNNNNNNNNNNNNNNNNNNNNNNNNNNNNNNNNNNNNNNNNNNNNNNNNNNNNNNNNNNNNNNNNNNNNNNNNNNNNNNNNNNNNNNNNNNNNNNNNNNNNNNNNNNNNNNNNNNNNNNNNNNNNNNNNNNNNNNNNNNNNNNNNNNNNNNNNNNNNNNNNNNNNNNNNNNNNNNNNNNNNNNNNNNNNNNNNNNNNNNNNNNNNNNNNNNNNNNNNNNNNNNNNNNNNGUUCCGAUAACCUCAAAUUUGGGCCAUUACAAACUCUCCCCCCCUUUUUAGGAUUUUCGUCCUCGAAAAUCUUACCAGUAAAGAGAUUCGGGUAUUGCUUCCUCAUUGUCUCUUCCGGUUCCCAUGUUGCUUCCUUAAUCCCGUGCUUUUGCCAUAGCACUUUCACCAGAUUUACCUUUUUGUUUCUAAGCUCCUUUGUUUCUCGUGCUAAUACUUUAACCGGUUCUUCAUUAUAAGUCAUAUCCGGCUGAAUUUCUACUUCUGUUGGAGUAAUAACAUGUGAAGGAUCUGAUCGAUACCGUCGUAGCAUAGAUACAUGAAAUACAUUAUGAAUUUUGUCGAGUUUCGGUGGUAAAGCCAAUCGGUAAGCAACUGGUCCAAUUCUUUCUAUAAUCUCAUAUGGUCCGAUAAAUCUGGACUCAAUUUACCCUUUCGACCGAACCGGAGAACUUUCUUCCAAGGAGACACUUUUAAGAAUACCUUAUCACCCACCUGAAAUUCAAUCUCCCUUCGUUUAAGAUCGGCGUAUGACUUUUGACGAUCGGAAGCUGCUUUUAAACUAUCCCGAAUCAGUCUUACUUUUUCUUCUGUUUCCCGAAUCAAAUCAACCCCGUGUAUCUUCUUUUCACUGAGCUCUGUCCAAUAUAAUGGUGUUCUACAUUUUCUACCAUACAAAGCUUCAUACGGAGCCAUUUUAAUACUAGACUGAUAACUGUUAUUAUAAGAAAAUUCAAUCAAAGGUAGAUACCUUUCCCAAUUACCUUGAAACUCUAAUGCACAACAUCGGAGCAUAUCUUCCAAUACCUGAAUUACACGCUCAGAUUGGCCAUCUGUCUGAGGAUGAAAUGCAGUACUGAAAUACAACUGAGUACCCAAAGCUUCUUGCAAUUUGUUCCAGAAACGAGACGUAAAUCGGGGAUCUCUGUCUGAUAUAAUGGAGACAGGCACUCCAUGUAGUCUAACAAUCUCAGAUAUAUACAAUCCAGCCAAUUUAUCUAAAGAAUAAUCCAUACAUACUGGGAUAAAGUGCGCGGACUUUGUCAAUCGGUCGACAAUUACCCAAUGGCAUCUUUCUUCCUCGGAGAUAACGGUAACCCAGAUACAAAAUCCAUAGUGAUUCUUUCCCAUUUCCAUUCCGGUAUAGUGAUUGGCUGAAGCAACCCCGAAGGUACCUGAUGUUCAGCCUUAACCUGCUGACAUACUAAACAUCUUGAUACAAACUCAGAGAUAUCAUUUUUCAUACUCGGCCACCAAUACAUCUUUUUCAAGUCAUUAUACAUUUUAUUACCUCCCGGAUGUACGGACAUAAUACCACUGUGUGCUUCGUGUAAAAUCUUCUGUACAAGUUCUGAAUUCUUCGGUACACAUACUCUGCCUCUGAAUAAUAAACAACCAUCAGUUCCAAUCUGAAAUUCUGAAUCAUUACCUGACUCACAAUGCACCCGUUUAGCCUGUAAUUUCUCAUCAUUCCUCUGAGCUUCACAUAUUUGUUGACGAAAUGUCGAUUUAGCUCUCAAUUCAGCUAUGAUUGAACCAUCAUUAGAUAGUGACAACCGGGUAUUCAUAGCUCGUAAAGCAAAUAGAGAUUUUCGGCUCAAAGCAUCAGCUACCACGUUAGCCUUACCCGGAUGGUAAUCAAUAACCAAAUCAUAAUCCUUUAUCAAUUCAAGCCACCUGCGUUGUCUCAAAUUCAAAUCUUUCUGUGUCAUCAAAUAUUUCAAGCUUUUGUGAUCAGUAUAAAUAUGACACUUUUCACCAUACAAAUAAUGCCGCCAUAUUUUCAAUGCAAAUACAAUAGCAGCUAACUCGAGAUCAUGUACCGGGUAGUUUCUUUCAUGUGGCUUAAGUUGUCUUGAAGCAUAGGCUAUUACUUUAUCUUCUUGCAUCAAGACACAACCCAAACCAUUUAAUGAUGCAUCACUAUAAAUAAUAAAUUCCUUAUCCGAUUCAGGCUGUACCAACACAGGUGCUUUCGUUAACAACUCCUUCAAUCGGUCGAAACUUUGCUGGCAUUUUUCUGUCCAUUCAAAUUUAACAUCUUUCUGUAAUAAACGGGUCAUUGGAGAAGCUAUCAUAGAAAACCCUUGUACAAAUCUCCGAUAAUAACCAGCUAAACCCAAGAAACUUCUAACUUCAGAUACAUUCUUCGGUGGACUCCAAUUGACAAUAGCUGAAAUUUUACUCGGAUCUACCCUGAUGCCUUCUGCGGAUACAAUAUGUCCGAGAAAACCUACCUCUCGAAGCCAAAAUUCACAUUUACUGAAUUUAGCAUAAAGUUUCUUUUCACGCAGAAUUUGCAACACUAUUUUCAAAUGUUCUGCAUGCUCAGUUUCAUCCCGAGAAUAAACUAAAAUGUCAUCAAUAAAAACUACUACAAACCUAUCUAGAUACGGUCUGAAUAUCCGGUUCAUCAAAUCCAUGAAUACUGCAGGUGCAUUAGUCAACCCAAACGGCAUAACCAGAAACUCAUAAUGCCCAUACCUGGUUCUGAAAGCUGUCUUUGGCACAUCUGGCUCUUUUACCCGUAACUGAUAAUAACCCGAUCGGAGAUCAAUCUUUGAAAAUACUGUGGCACCUUUCAGUUGAUCAAAUAAGUCAUCAAUUCGAGGCAAUGGGUACUUAUUCUUUAUAGUUACCUUAUUAAGCUGCCGAUAGUCAAUACAUAAUCUCAAAGACCCGUCUUUCUUUUUCACAAACAGAACUGGAGCACCCCAAGGUGAAUGACUCGGACGAACAAAACCUCUGUCAACAAGUUCCUGUAACUGUGCUUUAACUCUUUUAAUUCUGUAGGAGCCAUACGAUACGGAGCUAUGGAAAUUGGGGCAGUUCCCGGAAUCAGAUCUAUAGAAAAUUUCACUUCUCUUUCUGGUGGCAACCCUGGUAACUCCUCUGGAAAUACAUCAGAAAAUUCACAUACAACUGGCACUGCCUGUAUCUUUGACUCAGAUACCUUAGUAUCCAACACAUACGCCAAAUAAACAUCAUACCCUUUUCUAACACACCUCUGAGCUGUCAUAACUGAAAUCAUAUCGGAUAAUCCCUCUGUCUGAUUAGAUUUAACCCAAAGUAAUUCUCCAUUCUGGCAUUUCAACACAACAUAUUUUUGUCUACAGUUUACUACUGCAUCAUGCUGAGUUAACCAAUCCAUGCCCAAUAUCACAUCAAACUCAUCAAAAGGCAAUAACAUCAAGUCAACCGGGAAACAAAUACCUUUUACCAUCAGUGGACAAUUUUUACAAACUUUAUCCACUAUCACAAACUGGCCCAGGGGGUUCGAGACUUUAACCAUAAAUUCAGUAGGUUCAACAGACAAAUUUUUAACAAAUGCUAAUUUUGUGCAUAUAUAUGAAUGUGUAGAGCCAGGAUCAAUUAAUGCAAUAACAGUAGUAUCAUAGAGAGAAAAUGUACCCGCAAUUACAUCAGGAGAGGACGCCUCUUCACGAGCUCGAAUAGCAUAUGAUCUUGCAGGUGCUCUAACAUCUGAUCUAACCGCUGAAUCUUUGAAUGCACCCCUAUUACUUGCCCCCACUCCUGAGUUUCUCUGCAGUCUACCUCUGGUAGGAGCAUUACCUGAUCUCGCACUCGUUAUUUCUUCUCUUUUAGUUGUUUCAGGACAAUCCCGAAUAAAGUGAUCAGAUGCUCCACAUCUGAAACAAACAUUUUCACCUGCUCUACACUCUCCGGGGUGGCGUCUCCCACAUUGAGGACAUUCCGGUCUAGGAGGUCGAGUACUGCCAGUACUUUCAACUGUAGUGGUUUGAGCUCUAAAUCCCUCGAAUCUUCUACUUCUGCUUCGGCCAGAAUAUAUAUGUGGAAAAUGUGAUCCGCUAGAGAGCUCCCUAGGCCUCUUAGAUGUAGACUGAAAUGAUUUACUCAUUUGCCUCUUCUUUGUAUCCUGCGCUCCAGCUUCAGCUUUGCUCUUCUCUUUUUCUUUUAACAAGUCUUCUACUUUACAAGCUCUUUCUACCAGAACAACAAACUCUCUGAUUUCCAAUACACCCACUGAUAGUCGGAUGUCAUCAUUAAGCCCAUCUUCAAAUCUCUUGCACAUGUUGGCUUCGGUGGAUACAAAUUCCCGAGCAUACUUACUAAGUCUGACAAAUUCGCGUUCAUAUUCAGUCACGGACAUCUUACCUUGUUUUAGCUCAAGAAACUCCUUCCUUUUCUGCUCUGUAAAUCUCUGACUGGUGUACUUCUUUCGAAACUCCUCCUGAAAGAAAUCCCAAGUAACCCUCUCACUCGGUACGAUAGACACGAGAGUCUUCCACCAAUGAUAAGCGGAAUCUCUGAGAAGUGAGACCACACACUUCAUACAUUCUUCCGGUGUACAAGAUAAUUCUUCAAAAACCCUGAUGGUAUUCUCAAGCCAGAAUUCUGCUUUUUCUGCAUCGUCAUCUUUGGUAGCCCGAAAUUCUUCAGCCCCUUGCUUCCUAAUCUUAUCAACAGGUGGUCUCUCCCUGAUAAAUAUACCUGCAGCUGGGGAAGCUACAUGGGGAACCUGUGAACCUUGAGGGGGUGGAGGUCUUACAGUCGGAUUCGUACGAACGAACUCGGCAAACCAAUCAGUCAUGGCUUGGAAGAAGGCUUCUCUAGCUCCUCCUCCCUGUCUAUCUGAUGCAGGUCUUUCACUAACAUUAACAUCUGAUGGCACCGUCCCUUCUGCGGGAAUAGGUGCAUUACUCUCUACUUCAUCUGUACUAGCUCGUUCAGGAUCCAUAACUAUAAAAGAAAACAUUUUAAAAUCGUCAGGAGUCGUCACACUAUCAAAAUAUAUAAGUAUGGCAUGUAUAGGUAGACUCUUAUUCUUACUGAGUAUUUCCGAGAACCGACUAAACCUGCUCUGAUACCAAUAAAAUGUAACAACCCUUACCCGAGACCGUUUCCGGAGUCGAGCACGAGGCAUUACUUAGCUUAUCUUACCAAUUCGGAGCAUAAAAACUAGGUUUGAAAAUUUAUUUCAUUAUUCGCAGCAAAUCUGUCCAAUCGCGCAGCAGUUACUAAAUUAAUUAUAACUUGAGCUACAGAACUAAAAAUUUAAUUCCGUAAAUUUUCCCUAAAACUAGACUUAUAUAUCUACUCACCAUAAAAUUUUUAGAAUUUUUGGUUCAGAAAAUUAGUACAGUUUAUUAGUUAAAGUCUCCCCUGUUUCACCACCUGACUGCCCUGACCUCUAGUCACUAAAAAUAAGUUUUCUCAUUGUAGGAUUUUCAUAUGAAGUUCUUACUUGUUUCUACAGAAAAUAGACUCAUUAAGGAAUCUAAGAAUGUAAAUUUCAACUCAUAACCAUUUUUGUACAAUUUUUAAUUAUUUUCUAAACUCAGAACAGGGGACUCCAAAAACAGUUCUGACCCUAUCUUACUAAAAUUCACAUAUCUUAAAAUAUAAAUUUCCUUUUUCUACACCGUUAUUUUUCCAUGAAAAUAGACUCAACAAGAUUUAAUUCCAUAUAUCAUUCACCCUCUAAUUCAUUUUAUACUAUCUUGGGUGAUUUUUCAAAUUCACGUCACUGUGCUGCCUGAAUUCUGUUUCUUUGCAAAAUUUUAUCCUUUCAUGAUUUCCAUGCAUAAUUUAUCACCUAAUCUUUCAUAACAACAAACACCUUCAUCCUUAACCAUUUUAAUAACCAUACAUCAUCAAAUACUUACACAUCACUCAUUAGCAAAAUCAUCAUUACAAACAUACAAAAUAACUAAAUCCCUAUACAUGCCAUAACUCAAACGUGUUUCGAUAUAAAAUACCGAGCAGUUGUAGUUGAUAGUGUGGACGAUCUCCGACUUCUUUAGGAUCCUUGAAGUAGCUUUGCAAUACUAUAAGAGAAAGAGAAAUAAAAGAAGUAAGCAUAAAGCUUAGUAAGUUUACUAGCAAAUAAAUAACAAUAUUUAACUUAAAUAAUUAAACUUAAUGUCUAUAUCUCUAGUUUACUCUUUAGUUAAUCUCAUACUAGUUCUCUUACUUGUUUACUUAGAAUACUUGUGUGCAUAACUUACUCAAUCCUUGCUGCAUCGUUGAACAUCAAUUGAUAGUAUAAUAUGUUCUUAAGUCUUACAACUUACAUGAGCUUGCCAUUUAUGCUUUAAACUGAACUUUCAUGAACAUGAUUCGUUUACAAGCCCGUUGAGCUACAUUGGAAUAAUAAGGAUACUCGGGUCUCUUCUGAUAAUAACAUGCCAAAGCCAUGUCCCUGACAUGGUCUUACAUGGGAUGUUCUCGUGAUGGUGCCCAUGCCAUGUCCCAGACAUGGUCUUAUAGGGGAUCUCUCAUCUCGGUGCCAACGCCAUGUCCCAGACAUGGUCUUACAUGGGACCUCUCGUCUCGGUGCCCAUGCCAUGUCCCAGACAUGGUCUUACAGGGGACCUCUCAUGAUCUUAAGGAUGCCAAUGCCAUGUCCCAGACAUGGUCUUACAUGGGAUCUCUUUACCCAAAUGUCAUGACAUUCGUAUCCAGUACCAUCCUUAUGUAUCAACGGGACUUUUAAAUUUUAAUUCUCUAUCAUUUCAUGCUCGGAUCAUCAUCAAAUAAAUUCAUAAAAUAAAUUCAUAAUUGCUGGAAAUUAACAGCAUUAAUAAUAAAUAUUGAAAUAUUGCAUUUAUUUACCGUAAACUUACCUCGGUACCAAUUAUAGCCAAAUUCACCAACUUAGUCUUCAACUUUAUUCUUCCCUUUGUCUAACCUCGAGUUUCGUACUUCUUGAUCUAAAAUAGUAAAUUUAACUUAUUUAAUAAUCACAUUCAUUAAAACAGCCCUCGACUCUAACUUUUUCAAAAUUACAAUUUUGCCCCUAAACUUUUACAUAAUUACAUUUUUGCCCCAAGGCUCGGAAAUUAAACUUCAUCUCUUAUUCUUAUGUUUUAUAACAUUCUGAACAUUUUUCCCUUCUAUGGCAACAUCAAAUUCCCACUCUAACAUGUACUUAUGAACAUUAGGUAUUUUUACCGAUUAUGUUGUUUUACUCGUUUUCACUUAAAAUCGCUUAGCAAAAGUUGUUUAACAUAAUUUCUAGCUUCAUAUUCUAUCAUAAAACAUCAAAAUAAACACUUUUCACCUAUGGGUAUUUUUCCAAAUAUAAACCCUAGGUUAAAUUAUUGCUAGAAUAAGCUAAAUUAAGCUACCGGGAUCUCAAAAACGUAAAGAACAUUAAAAACGGGGCUUGGGAUCACUUACUAUGGAGCUUGGAAGCUUGAAAACCCUAACUAUGGCUUCCCCCCUUGCUGAUUUCGUUCAUAUGAAGAAGAUGAUGAUUUUUGCCAUCUUUUUCCCUUUUAAUUCAUUUUAAUUACUAGAUUACCAAAUUGCCCCUAACUUAAAAAUUUUCUAUUUCACUUAUCUAAUGUCCAUUUUUGUCUACCAAGUUACCAAUGGUAUAAUUACCAUAUAAGGACCUCCAAUUUAAAGUUUCAUAACAAUUGGACACCUCUAACAUGUAGAACUCAACUUUUGCACUUUUUACAAUUUAGUCCUUUUGACUAAAUUGAGUGCCCAAACGUCGAAAUUUUCGAACGAAAUUUUCAAAAAAUCAUUUUGUGAAAUUGUAGACCAGAAAAAUAUAAGAAAAAUAAAAUUUUUCUCAUCGGAUUUGUGGUUCCGAAACCACUGUUCCGAUAACCUCAAAUUUGGGCCAUUACAAAAGCUCAUUUUGGUGAAUGCCGAUUUAAGAGUGGGGCUUGUUACCGAUGUGGUUCUUUUGACCAUUUCCUCAGAGAUUGUCCAGAAAGGGUUGAAAAAGAAGUUGAACAUAUAUCGAAGCCGAUUAAUCUAGUUUCGAGAAGCAGACCACCUCGACCAUCCGGUAAUGUCAGUGGUAGUCGAGGAGCUAUAAAAGAUACUAUAGGUAGGCCUGAGGUACGAGCACCUGCUAGGACAUAUGCCAUUCGUGCCAGAGAAGAUGCUUCAGCACCCGAUGUUAUUACUGGUACAUUUUCUUUACUUGAUACUGAUAUUACUGCAUUGAUUGAUCCUGGUUCUACGCAUUCAUAUAUAUGUGUUAAACUUGCAAUUGUUAAAAAUUUAUCUGUUGAACCUACUGAAUUUGUGGUUAAAGUCUCGAACCCCCUUGGCCAGUCUGUGUUAGUGGAUAAAAUUUGUAAAAAUUGUCCAUUGAUGGUAAGAGGUUAUUGUUUCCCGGCUGAUUUGAUGUUACUGUCAUUUGAUGAAUUUGACGUGAUAUUGGGUAUGGAUUGGUUAACCCAGCAUGAUGCGGUAGUAAAUUGUAAACAAAAAUAUAUUGUGUUAAAAUGUCAGAAUGGUGAGUUGCUCCGGGUUAAAUCUGAUCAGACAGAGGGGUUAUCUGAUAUGAUUUCAGUAAUGGCAGCACAGUGGUAUGUCAAAAAGGGGUAUGAUGCUUACUUGGCUUAUGUACUUGACACCAAGGCAUCUGAGUCAAAGAUACAGACAGUUCCAGUGGUAUGUGAAUUUUCUGAUGUGUUUCCAGAAGAAUUACCAGGAUUGCCACCAGAAAGAGAAGUGGAAUUUUCUAUAGAUUUGAUUCCGGGAACUACUCCGAUCUCCAUAGCUCCAUACAGGAUGGCUCCUAUAGAAUUAAAAGAGUUAAAGACACAAUUGCAAGAGCUUGUUGACAGGGGUUUUGUUCGACCGAGUCAUUCACCUUGGGGUGCUCCGGUUCUGUUUGUGAAAAAGAAAGAUGGGUCUUUGAGAUUGUGUAUCGACUACCGGCAGCUUAAUAAAGUAACCAUAAAGAAUAAGUACCCGUUACCCCGGAUUGAUGAUUUAUUUGAUCAGCUGAAAGGUGCUACUAUGUUUUCAAAGAUUGAUCUUCGAUCAGGUUAUUAUCAGUUACGGGUAAAGGAGUCAGAUGUGCCAAAAACAGCCUUUAGAACCAGGUACGGGCAUUAUGAGUUUCUAGUUAUGCCGUUUGGGCUAACUAAUGCACCUGCAGUAUUCAUGGAUUUGAUGAACCGGAUAUUUAGACCGUACUUAGACAGAUUUGUAGUAGUAUUCAUUGAUGAUAUUUUGGUUUAUUCUCGAGAUGAAGAAGAACAUGCAGAACAUUUGAGAAUUGUGUUGCAAAUUCUACGAGAGAAGCAGUUGUAUGCUAAAUUCAGUAAAUGUGAAUUUUGGCUUCGAGAAGUGAGUUUUCUUAGACACAUUGUAUCUGCCGAAUGCAUCAGGGUAGAUCCAAGUAAAAUCUCAGCUAUUGUCAAUUGGAGUCCACCGAAGAAUGUAUCUGAAGUUAGAAGUUUCUUGGGUUUAGCUGGUUAUUAUCGGAGAUUUGUACAGGGAUUCUCUAUGAUAGCUUCUCCAAUGACUCGAUUAUUGCAGAAAGAUGUAAAGUUCGAGUGGACUGAUGAAUGUCAACAAAGUUUCAACCGAUUGAAAGACCUAUUAACGAAAGCACCUGUAUUAGUGCAGCCUGAACCGGGUAAGGAAUUUGUUAUUUACAGUGAUGCCUCAUUAAAUGGUUUAGGUUGUGUUUUGAUGCAAGAAGGUAAAGUAAUAGCCUAUGCUUCAAGACAACUUAAACCACAUGAAAGAAAUUACCCAGUACAUGAUCUUGAAUUAGCUGCUAUUGUAUUUGCGCUGAAGAUAUGGCGGCAUUACUUGUACGGUGAGAAAUGUCAUAUUUAUACUGAUCAUAAAAGCUUGAAAUAUUUGAUGACACAGAAAGAUUUGAAUUUGAGACAGUGCAGGUGGCUUGAACUGAUAAAGGACUAUGAUUUGAUUAUUGAUUACCAUCCGGGUAAGGCAAAUGUUGUAGCUGAUGCUUUGAGCUGAAAAUCUCUGUUUGCUUUACGAGCUAUGAAUACCCGGUUAUCAUUGACUGAUGAUGGUUCAAUCCUAACUGAAUUGAGAGCUAAACCAACAUUUUUACAGCAAAUAUGUGAAGCUCAGAAGAAUGAUGAGAAGUUACAGGUUAAACGGGCACAGUGUGAGUCAGGUAAUGAUUCUGAAUUUCAGAUUGGUUCUGAUGAUUGUUUAUUAUUCAGAGGUAGGGUAUGUGUACCUCAGAAUUCAGAGCUCAUACAGAAGAUUCUACGCGAGGCCCACAGUAGUACUAUGUCUGUACAUCCGGGGAGUAAUAAAAUGUAUAAUGAUCUGAAAAAGAUGUACUGGUGGUCGGGAAUGAAACGUGAUAUUUCUGAGUUUGUAUCAAGGUGUUUAAUAUGUCAACAAGUUAAAGCUGAACAUCAGGUACCUUUAGGGUUACUUCAUCCAAUUACUAUACCGGAAUGGAAAUGGGAAAGAAUCACUAUGGAUUUUGUAUCGGGGCUACCUUUGUCUCCGAGGAAAAAAGAUGCUAUUUGGGUGAUUGUAGACCGAUUGACAAAGUCAGCUCACUUUAUUCCGGUACGUAUGGAUUAUUCUUUAGAUAAACUAGCUGAACUGUACAUAUUUGAGAUUGUCAGGUUACAUGGAGUGCCUGUCUCCAUUAUAUCAGAUAGAGAUCCCCGAUUUACGUCUCGUUUCUGGGACAAAUUGCAAGAAGCCUUGGGUAUUCAAUUGUAUUUCAGCACUGCAUUUCAUCCUCAGACAGAUGGUCAAUCUGAGCAUGUAAUUCAAGUAUUGGAAGAUAUGCUCCGAUGUUGUAUACUAGAGUUUGAAGGUAAUUGGGAGAGGUAUCUACCUUUGAUUGAAUUUGCUUACAAUAACAGUUAUCAGUCUAGUAUUAAAAUGGCUCCGUAUGAAGCUUUGUAUGGUAGAAAAUGUAAAACACCGUUAUAUUGGACAGAGCUCAGUGGAAGGAAGAUACAUGGGGUUGAUUUGAUCCGGGAAACAGAAGAAAAAGUAAAGGUUAUUCGAGAUAGUCUAAAAGCAGCUUCCGAUCGUCAAAAAUCAUAUGCCGACCUUAAGCGAAAAGAGAUUAAAUUUCAAGUCGGUGACAAGGUAUUUCUGAAAGUGUCUCCUUGGAAGAAAGUUCUUCGAUUCGGUCGAAAGGGUAAAUUGAGUCCAAGAUUUAUCGGGCCCUAUGAAAUCAUAGAAAGAAUUAGACCGGUCGCUUAUCGAUUGGCAUUACCACCGAAACUUGAUAGAAUCCAUAAUGUUUUUCAUGUAUCUAUGUUACGACGAUAUCGAUCAGAUCCUUCACAUGUUAUUUCUCCAACAGAAGUAGAGAUUCAACCGGAUAUGACUUACAGUGAAGAACUGGUCAAGAUAUUGGCACGGGAGACAAAAGAGCUUAGAAAUAAAAAGAUAAAUUUGGUGAAAGUAUUGUGGCAAAAGCACGGGAUUGAGGAAGCAACAUGGGAACCGGAGGAGGCAAUGAGGAAACAAUACCCAAACCUCUUUACUGGUAAGAUUUUCGAGGACGAAAAUCCUUAAAAGGGGGGGAGAGUUGUAAUGGCGUAAAUUCAAUGUUAUCGGAACAGUGGUUUCGUAACCACAAAUCCGAUUUAAAGAGAAAUUUAUUUCAAUAUUUUUGCUUGAAAAUUUAUAUGAUAGGAAAAUCGUAUGAAAAUAUUGAUAAGAAAAUUUUUAUCAAUUUAGUGAUUAGUUAGAAAAAGAAAUUAUUUAAGAAAUUGGGUAAAAUAAGGUAUUGGGACCUCUAUCUCGUAAAACCGAGUCAAAAAUAAUUUUAUAAAUAUUUAUGAAAUGUUAUUAAUGUGGUAUUAAAAUUUCGUUAGGAAAUUUUAAUGUUUGGGUAGUCAAUUAAAUGAAAAGGACUGAAUUGUAAUAGGUGUAAAAGUUGCUAGAGUGAUUAAAUAGCUUAUUAGUCUAAUGAGAAAGGAUAUAAAAGGCAAUUAGACCCAAAAUUUAUUUGGGCUGGACGGCAAGGGUAUGAAAUCAGCAGAAAAAUUGAUAAAUUAAGGGUAAAAUUGGAAUAUUGCAAAAUUAACUAAAUAAAACUAGGACUAAAUAGGAAAUAUCUAGAUUUCUCUUCAUUUCUCUUCAAUUCCAGCAGCUAAAAACGCCAUAGGAGGGUUCUCUAAGCUGGUAUUUCAUAAUUUUUGCACCAAGUGAGUUAAUACUUGCCUUUUUCUUGUAAUUUUUGUGUUUCUAAGACUUUUACAACUAGAUCCUACUAUUAAAUUCAUUAGUUUUUGAUUUCAUGGAUGAAAUUUAAAGUCACCAUGGUUGAGUGCUGUAAGUUUAUGAUGAAAUAGAAUGAAAUUAAAGCUUUAAUUUGUUUAUGAGAUGAUUUUAUUAGGCAAUUUCAAUGGAAAUUGAUUUUUGGGACCUAAUUGUGAAAAUGUUUGGAAUUAAAGUCUAUUGCUGAAAUUCUGAUUCCUAAAGGUUGUAAACUAGUUUAAGGUGAUAGAAUAAAAUGUUAAUUGAGAAAAAUCAGCUCAAUUGAGAGACUAGUUGAGUAGGGACGAAAUUAUCAUUUAUUAAAAGCUUAGGGGAAAAAUGGUAAUAAACAGCUUGCACUAAAACAGUUUGGACAGCAGCAGUAGACUAAAUUUGAAAAAUCACCAAAAAUUGUAGGAAUCGAAUUAGGAGAUGAAAAAAAUAUGGAAUUAAAGCUUAUUGAGUCUAGUUUCUCAUAGAAGAAAUAUUGUAAGCAAUGGGUUUGUAAAUUUUGAGAUAUAAUGAAUUUUGUGAGAUAAGGUCAGAAUGAAUUCGGGUUCCCCUGUUCUGACUUUGAAAAAUUAUAAAAAAUUGAAUAAAAAUAAUUAGGGACUUAAAUUUAUAUGUCUAGAAUUCUGAAUGAGUAUAUUUUUAAUAGAAACAAACAAGAACAUCAUUUGAAUUCUGUAUAAAGAGAUAAUUUAUUUUUAGUGAAGAAGGGUCAGAACUAUUAGACAACAGAACAGGGGUGACUUUGAAGAAUAAACUGUACUGAUUGGCUAAACCAAAAAUUAUGAAAAUUUUAUGGUAAAAAUAUAUAUGAGUCUAGUUUCAGGGAAAAUUAGCGGAUCUUAAUUUGGAGUUCCAUAGCUCAAGUUAUAAAUAAUUUAGUGACUAUGACUCAAGUAGACAGCUUUGAAUGAACUAUAAAUAAUAGUUGAAUUAUAGAGAAUGUUGCAUAUGAACAUGAAAUGUAUUAAAUUGAUAAUUAAAUUUAUUUAUUUAGAUCCAGAAGAUUCAAAUACGAAGCUAGAUCGAGGAAAGGAAAAAGUUCGGGAUUAAUAUAUUUUUACUGUUUACAAACAAGUAUCAAGGUAAGUUCAUGUAACUUGAAUUAUAUUCUUAAAUGCUUGAAAUGCAUGUUUUUUAUAUGAAUAUGAUUUGAAUGUUCAUUGUAUGAAAAUUUAUGAAACAUUGAUAUAUUUGAUAAAAUGGGAAGAAAUCCCGUUUGAAUGAAAGGAAAAUUUGAUGGAUCUCUGAAAAGGAAUUGACGGUAAAAAGGAUCUAGCCCGGACGGGUGAUCCUAUCCUGAUAUAGCCCUCCCGAAGAAUAUGUGUAAAAUUGAUUUAGCCCGGACGGGUAAUCUGAAUUAGGGUCUGAAUUUAGCCUGGACUGGUAAUUCAGAUCCAAGCUCAUUAGAGUAAUUGUCGUUGCAGGGGAUUUAGCCUGGACUGGUAAUGUAACACCCCUUAACCCCGAACCGUCGCCGGAACAGAAUUACGAGGCAUUACCAGACGUAUCGAACGAUUUACAACAAUUCUUAAAUAAAUAACCAAUAUAUUAAAAUAAUUCAUAAAAUUUAUUAGUUUGUUUACCAAAUGACUUCAUUUUUUUUUUAUAAAAAUUUCGGCAGCAUUUCUGCUUAUUUUUACAUAAAACCCCCUGCAAAUUAAAAUCAUAUAGUUCCCAAAUAUCACCAAUUCAACCAAUUCAUUUCACAUUCACAUUUUCUAUUCUAAAUACUUCUAAUCAAACUCAAUCUACACAAUAUCAAUUUGAAAUUUAACAAUGUACUAAUUAGAUAAAAUAGAUAGACUUCUUUCAUUAAAAUCCAUAAACUUUUAAUACUAACAUUUUUAACCAUUAUAUAAUAAAACAUAAUAACCUUUAUACACAAUCUAUGUACAUGCCACCUUUACCAAAGGAAAAAUACAUCACCAAGUUUUGCCGAAGCCGAGAUUAAUCUGGAUGCUGAACCGGGACCUUUGACUUCUAUCGACCUGCGCACGGAAACAACCGUACGCUGAGUAAUUCAUACUCAGUGGUAUUACCAUAAUUCAAAUUAUAACAAUAAUGUACAUGUAAUGCAUAAAUCGUAUAUACAAUUUAAAUUAAAUAUUUCAACAAUAGCAAUUCAUCAACCAAUAUCGUAUAUCCACAAUUUGAGUUUGAAUAAUUCACGAACCUUAGGUUCAUUUCUCAAUCUCAUUUCACAUUUCAAUUCACAAUUCAACUUUUUCAUAUCAUUUCAAUAGCUCGUUUGACCAACUCGUUCGGUUUAUCAUUUCAUCAUUUACCCUAUUAACAAAACUAGGACUUUGGCGGAUACACGGAUCCAACCAAACACACCAGAAUGGCACCCAGUGCCUCAUCGGAUAGUUCGAAGCAAUAGUUGACACCCAGUGUCUCAUCGGCAAAGCCGAAGAAAGUUGGUACCCAGUACCUCAUCGAAUCUAUCCGAAGAAAUAUAGUGACACCCAGUGUCUCAUCGACUCGAGGUCGAAGUAUCCCUGAACUCUUCCAAUCCUAUGGCAUGCCAACUAUAUCCGACUCAGCCCGACUAGUUAAUAGGGUAUUUAAAUCACAUAUAUUCUCAAUUCAAUUACAAUUUUUCACAUUUUCAAUUCAAUCAUUUUUCCACCUUUCAAUCAAUAAUUAUUUCACAACUUCACACAUUUUCACAACUCAAUACAUUUCCAUACAAUUUAAUACCAUUCACAAUUCGAUUCAAAUUCAUUUCCCGCUUUCAAUCAACAAACAAUUCAAAUAUUAUUUCAUAUCAACUAUUCAAUUUAAUUCCCACUCAUAAUAAUAAUAAUACUAAUAAUAAUACUAAUACUAAUAUUAAUACUUACCUCACAUUUCAUUUACUAGACACAUAAAUUAAAAUUUAACAUUUAAAAAUAAAUAAUUUGAAUUAUAGUAAUACAAACCGUUAUUCUCCCGUUUUAGUCCUCGAUAACUUUCUCCUUUUCUUUUGACGCCGAUGCCUCGGGUUCUUUGUUAGCUACGAAAAUAAUAAUAAUUUGUAAUAUUAAUUACAGCACUAAUUAUAAUUAUAAUAAAUAAUUGAAUUUCUAUUCAAAUUUCAUCCAAACUAAAAUUUAACUAUCAAAAUUUCAGCAUAUUUUGCUAAUUUCGAAUUUCCCUCAAUUUAGUCCCUAAAACAUAAAACUUAUAGUUUCUUUUACAAUUUAAUCCCUUUUUCAAUUCUAACUUAAAAUUCCUUCAAGUUAAUCCCUAAUUCAUCUCUUUUGUUCAACAUAAACUAUACUUGAAAACCUAUGAACUUACAAAAUAUCAACUUAAUUCCAUCAAAACUUUGUUUUAAAGCUUUUAGAACAUUAGAAUUAAGAGAAAAGGGCUAAUUUGACUUACCAAUUUAAAUUUCAAGCUUCAAAAACCCUAUUUUCCCUUUUUUCUUCUUUUUCUUCUUUCUCCCCUGUUUCUCCCCUGUUUCGUCUCUUCUAUUCUGUUUCUUUCCUUUCUUUUGCUUUGUUUUUAUUUCUUUUUAUUUCAUUUACUUUAUAUUAUAUUAAUUAAUUAUAAGUAUUACAAAUGUAUGUAUUUUAUUAGUACUCUUGCAUUAAUUCAUCACCAUACACUUGUCUCAAUCUAACUAGUUUAUCAAUAAAAAUCUCAUAAUAUUAUUAUUUAAUUAACAAUUAUCUUUUACUUAAUUUUCAAGUAAAUAAAUAAAUGUAAUACACUUGUAUUUUAUUUUUACCACACACUUGGCAAAAUCAUAAUUUAUUAUUACCCAAAAAUCUUAUACUAAUUAUUUAAUUAUUAAAUAUCUUUUAAUUUAAUAAUAACUAAUAACUAAUAAUAAAUAAUAAAUAUCUUAUACUAAUUAAUAAGCAAAUUAAAUCUAUAAACUACAAAUAUAUACAUACUUUAAUUACACAUGUAUUACUUUAUCAUGUCUUUAUUUUAAUUUAUUUAAUAAUAAUAGUAAUAAUAUAUUUAAUAUUUUAUAAUUAAUUGUCAUAAAAAUCUAAGAUUUUUAUGCACAUUUGCCGCCCCAUGUAAUAAAAUAGGCUUAAUUACCUAUUUGGUCCCAUAUGAUUUCUUUUAAUCUAUAAUUAUGCUUUCACUCUUUAUUCAAUUUAAUCCUUUUUACUAAUUACUCAUAAUUAAACUAAAUUCACCUAUCUAAAACUUAAUUAAACACACAACUAGUCUCGUAAAUAUUUCUAAUAAUUAUUUUCGGACUCAAUUUACUAGGACGGAGGCCCGAUAUUAUACUUUUCCGAUGCCCAUGAAUUUUGGGUCAUUACAUAUCCCGACAAUACUCUAUGAGUUUAUAUUGCAAGGGAUUUAGCCUGGACUGGUAAUCCCGCUGUAAGGUUGAGGUUCGCGGGAGUGUGCUCUCUGAAAUGGAAAUGUGCGCACAUGAAUAUGAAUUGACGGACCCAGAAUUGUACACUAAAAGUGUACCUCUGAAAAUCCAUCAAAAAUUCCAAGAAAUUCAACGGGAUAAAUAUGGAAAAAUAACAAGGAAAUGGAAAUCAUAGUAUAUAUUAUUGGUACAUGGAAAUUAUUGUACUAACUUGAAUGUUGAGUUUGUGCAUGUUAGGGUAAUAAUGCAUUGAAUGGAUAUAUGAAUGUUUAUUAUAUUGUAUUGAAAAUAUUAGGUAAGUAUAAUUCUUGUUACAUGAGCUUACUAAGCACAAAGUGCUUACCCCGUUUCCUUUUUCCCUGUUUUGUAGUGUUAAGAGCUCGGAGGUCGGAUUGGGUCGGAGACACAUCACACUGUCAACCUCAGGAUUUCGGUAUAUAAAGAAACUUUAUUUUGGAAAUCAAUGGCAUGUAUAAGCUAACAAAGUAAAUGCUAACAUGAAAUGAAUGUAAAGUUAGCCAUUAGUAUGGUUAACAAACCUGGUUAUAGAUAUGUGAUGACGUUAUCUUAUAUAAAUGCAUGAAUCUAUAAUGAAAAUAUGUUGAAUUGAAAAAAAAAUUAAUUCGUAAACUCCUGUAAUGCCUCGUACCCUAUUCCGGCAAUGAAUACGGGUAGGGGUAUUACAGCAGUUCAUUUCUACUACUUCACCAAAAAAACAACGAGCUCGUGAAAUUGAAUAUUUUAAGUGCAAAGGGCGUGGGCACUAUAGCCGUGAUUGUGCCAACACAAGACUUUUGUUGAUCAAAGAAGAUGGUGAUUAUACUUCUGAUUCCGAUAAAACAGACCCAGAUAUGCCCGAAUUAAUUGAUGAUGUCAACGAUUGCGGUAAAUUUUAUGGUGAAGAAGAGUUGGUGGAACCACUAACUCAUCCCCGAUGUUUAGUUGUGAGGCGCACACUCAACAUCCAAUUGAAGGAUGAUCAUGAUCUUCAACGGAUUAAUAUAUUCCAUUCGAGGUGUUUGAUUAAAGGUACAUUUUGCUCAUUUAUCAUUGAUAGUGGAAGUUGUGCUAACGUUGUGAGCAGCUACCUUGUGGAUUCUCUUGCUUUGCCAUGUAGCAAACACCCUACACCAUACCAUCUUCAAUGGCUUAAUGAAGGUUCGGAGGUCCGUGUGGUAAAACAGUGCUUGAUCACUUUUACACUUGGGACUUACAUUGAUGAUGUUUGGUGUGAUGUCGUUCCCAUGCAUGCCGUCCACUUGUUACUUGGUAGACCAUGGCAGUACGAUCGUGAUGUUAUUCAUCAUGGUAAAUUAAAUUGAUAUUAUUUUAUUUUCAGUGGGAAAAAGUACACUUUCACCCCUUUGAAUCCGAAAGAUAUUCACAAUGAUCAAAUCGACAUGAUGAAGUUUUGUAAGGAGGUUAUGGGAAGUAAGACACAAAAUUCAAAAAAGGCUGAGAGAAAAGAGGUCUCUAGUGAAAAGAGCCAAAUUAAUAAUGACCCAAUGGUGAGUGCAUCCUCUUGUGAGAAAAAAAAAGUGGUUCAUAAUUUUUAUGUGAGUGGAAAAGAUGUGCGACGAGCCUUACUCACUAAACAACCUUGCAUCAUUAUUCGAUUUAGGCAAAACUGUUUAUCUUUGACUAACCUUCAUAACUCUUUGCCUAGUGUUUUUAUGUCUCUUUUGCAGGAAUAUGAAGAUAUUUUUGAAGCAGCACCUAAAGGAUUGCCACCUUUGAGGGGUAUUGAGCAUCAAAUUGACUUAAUACCUGGGUCAACAAUUCCAAAUCGACCAGCUUAUAGAAGCAAUCCCGAUGAGACGAAGGAGUUACAAAAGCAAGUAGAUGAACUUUUGGCGAAGGGUCACAUUCGUGAAAGUUUAAGUCCUUGUGUAGUGCCGGUAAUUCUGGUGCCAAAGAAAGAUGGUACGUAUAGAAUGUGCGUCGAUUGUCGACCAAUUAACCAAAUCACUAUUAAGUAUAGACAUCCUAUUCCAAGGCUUGAUGAUAUGUUUGAUGAACUUUAUGGUGCUUGUAUCUUUACAAAAAUUGAUUUAAAAAGUGGCUACCAUCAAAUUCGAAUGAAAGAGGGGGAUGAAUGGAAAACAGCAUUUAAAACUAAGUUUGGUUUAUAUGAAUGGUUAGUCAUUCCUUUCGGUUUGACUAAUGCACCUAGUACUUUCAUGCGCUUGAUGAACCAUGUUUUGAGACCUUAUUUGGGUAAAUUUGUGGUAGUAUAUUUUGAUGAUAUUCUGAUUUACUCAACUUCUUUAGAUGACCAUGUUUUUCAUGUUAAAUCAGUUUUGGAUAUUCUGCGAACUGAAAAAUUAUUUGCCAACCUUGAUAAAUGCACUUUUUGUUGUGAUAAACUAAUCUUUUUAGGUUUUAUAGUAAGUGCUCAAGGUAUUCAUGUCGAUGAGGACAAAGUAAAGGCAAUUAGAGAAUGGCCCACUCCUAAAUCAAUUACCGAGGUGAGAUCUUUCCAUGGUUUAGCAAGUUUUUAUAGACGUUUUGUGAAGGAUUUCUCCACUAUUGCUGCUCCAUUAACUGAGAUUAUUAAAAAAUCUGUGGGUUUUAAAUGGGAAGAAGUUCAGGAAAAGGCUUUUCAAACUUUAAAGGAUAAGUUAUGUUCUGCUCCGGUUCUUAAAUUACCUGAUUUUUCUAAUACUUUUGAACUUGAAUGUGAUGCUUCAGGUAUUGGAAUUGGUGCCGUGUUGAUGCAAGAAAAAAGGCCAAUUGCAUAUUUUAGUGAAAAACUGACAGGGGCACAAUUAAACUACUCAACUUAUGAUAAGGAGUUGUUGGCAUUAGUCCGAGCUCUACAAGUUUGGCAACAUUACUUGUUGCCAAAUGAGUUCGUUAUCCAUACAGAUCAUGAAUCCCUAAAAUGGUUAAAGGGACAAUGUAAGUUAAGUAAGAGACACGCUCGAUGGGUGGAAUUCAUAGAGACAUUUCCAUAUACAAUUAAGUAUAAAACAGGUAGAGAAAAUGUAGUUGCUGAUGCCUUAUCUCGUAGAUAUUCUUUGAUAACUACAUUAAAUGCUAAAGUCUUAGGGUUUGAACAUAUAAAAGAUUUAUACUUAAAUGAUAUUGAUUUUGCAAAUGUUUUUUCUAAUUGUGGGAAUGGUGCCUUUAACAAGUUUUAUAUUGUAGAUGGGUUUCUUUUUCGCCUAAACAGGUUAUGUGUUCCACAAUGUUCAAUGAGAGAGUUAUUAAUUCGUGAAGCACAUAGUGGAGGCCUCAUGGGACACUUUGGUGUCGCCAAAACACUAGAUAUUCUACAUGAACAUUUUUAUUGGCCGCACAUGAAAAAGGACGUUGAAAAGGUCUGUUCUAAUUGUAUUACUUGUAAACAAGCAAAAUCUAAGGUAAUGCCUCAUGGACUUUAUACUCCUUUACCGAUCCCUUCUUCGCCAUGGGUAGACUUAUCUAUGGAUUUCAUUCUUGGUUUACCACGAACAAAAAAGGGUCGAGAUAGUAUCUUUGUUGUUGUUGAUAGGUUUUCAAAGAUGGCUCACUUUAUUCCUUGUCACAAAACGGACGAUGCUACACAUGUGGCUGACUUGUUCUUUCGAGAGGUGGUGCGCCUACAUGGGAUACCUCGCACCAUUGUAUCGGACAGAGACGUAAAGUUCCUAAGCCACUUUUGGAAAGUAUUGUGGGGUAAGCUUGGUACUAAAUUAUUAUAUUCUACUACAUGUCACCCCCAAACAGAUGGACAAACUGAGGUAGUCAAUCGAGUCUUAGGUGCUUUACUACGAACUGUUGUGGGUAAGAACCUUAAAACUUGGGAAGAAUAUUUGCCAUUUGUUGAGUUUGCAUAUAACCGAUCUAUUCACUCUACAACUGCAUAUUCCCCAUUUGAACUUGUUUAUGGUUUUAAUCCACUAACUGUACUUGAUCUUGCACCAUUGCCUAUAGAAAACAUUUCUAGUUUAGACGGUGAGAAGAAAGCUGAAUAGGUGAAAUCCAUGCAUGCGAAAGCAAGACAACGAAUCGCCAAAACAAAUGAAACAACUGCCAACAAAGCUAACAAGUGGCGCAAGCAAAUUAUCUUUGAGCCCGGUGACUGGGUUUGGGUCCACAUGAGAAAAGAGCGAUUUCCAACUAAACGCAAAACAAAAUUGGACCCACGUGGCGAUGGACCUUUUCAAGUACUCAAGCGCAUUAAUGACAAUGCAUAUCAAAUCGACCUUCCCGGUGAGUAUAAUGUUAGUGCCACUUUUAAUGUCGCUGACCUUUCUCCUUUUGAUAUUGCAGAUUCGAGGGCGAAUCCUUUUGUGGAAGAGGGGAAUGAUACGAGUAACUCAGCCCAAUUCAAAGGCCAUAAUAGAGAUGAGUUAGUUUUCCUCAAGGCCCAAUUACGAGAUCCAAAUCCAAACAAAUAAAGUCAAAACUCAACUUAGUGGUUCAAGACUUUAUCACGAAAAAAAUUCAAGAAUAAGAGUUAAAGUUUCAAGACAAUAAAUUCUGGAGUAAUGAUGAAUUAGAAAAGACUAAUUAUGUUUGUGGGCCUAAACUCUCAAUCUAUGACGACAAGCCCAUGUGGAAAAUGCUAACAAGCUUAAACAUUUCACUUCAAGAACCCCAAUUGAUCUUACAAGCUUAGACAUUUCAUAUUGGGUUUAAGUUUUAGGCUUAAUUUUUAUUAUAUAUAAGCACAAUAUUUUGUUUAUUAGCUCUUAUUAUUUUAUUAUUAUUUUAUUCUGAAUUUUUUAUAAUUAUUAAGUAUUUUAAGUUAUUUAGGAAUUUUAUGUUAACAAGAAAGUUUAGUUUAAAACUACUUCUUGUUUAGAUUAAAUUAGAGUUCUAGUAUACUUAGGAGUUUUAUUUAGAUUUAUUUAUCUAGCCUAUAUAUAGGCCUUUGCAUUGUACACAGGGAGACAAUUGAUUAUUAUUCUAUUUCUCUUUUGAGUUAAUAAAUUCUCUUUGAGUUUUUUCUUUUCAAGAAUUUCUCUUGAGUUUCUUUUAGAAGAGUUUUAACAAUCUUUUUAGAUUGUGGGGAUCAUCUUCAAACUUUUUCUUGCCAAGGUUUGUAUCUUGGAGGGGAAAUUAGAGCCGCUUGAAGGGGGUUGUGGAUUCUUCGUGUUUCUAAGGCUUCUUAGGACUUCUACACGCCACGUUCUAUCUUUCCAUUUAUCUUCUUUAUUCACUUCCUGAAUCCUUGAUUUAUUAUUUGUUUUAAUUAUUUUAUCUAAUUUGGAUUUAAUUUCAUUUCAGGUUGUGUCAAGAAAAAUCCAAGUUUCUUUCCGAACGUCUAGAGCCCUAAGUCAAAUCCGCGACUUUGACAAACUUUACGAUCCGCUUUCGCGUUCAUCCUUCUCAACCUUUAUCAUUUGGUAUCAGAUUUGGGCGUUUUAGGUGUUCUUUUUUAAAUUGAUUUCUCGAAAACAGCUUCAAAACAAAUUUUACCCCUAUAGUUUUCAAAAAAAAUAUUUCUCAGUGGGUAAACGAUUUUCAAAUGAUCUAAAAUUUUGCAUACUAUUUCUUGGCACUAUUUUAAAGUAUAAAAAAAUAUUUCCCACAAAAAAAAGUGAUAAAAAAGUACAAAAAAAUACGAAAAAAAAAUAAAAAAAUUUUCGUGGGUUGAAUUUUGUGCCGAAACUUUCCAGAUCAAAUCUACAUUAUUUGAGGAGGCUUCAGUUUAAAUUUUGUGAUUUUUGGAAAUCGGGAACACCUUGAACGAAGUUUGUCUAGUUGCUUCGCAGUUUUUCGGGUUUUCGGGUUUCAACAAUUUUCAUUGACUCUUAGCUUUAAGUAUUCAUUUGUUUUCCUUUUUAUUUGUUCCUUACGCAUUCUAACACUUUCUUGUUUCUUGUGUUAGUAGGUUAAAGCACGUUGCAUAUUCCUUCAUCCGUGCAACAAAAUUCUUUGAUGUCUAAGCAAAUUUUGGACUCAUAGUGCUAUUAGGUUUGCUUUGAUGUUUGAUUCUAAAACAUCUUGAUUGAUUGAUAUAGACACUUUUAAAAGACUCACAAGAUUAAUUCUUACCUCAUUGAGAUUUUUUUUUUGAGUGCAUAUAGGUGAGGUUUGCUUAAUUUUUUCUUUUGAAGUGUUGUGCUUUUCCAGGCUUUCACUAUGACUCGUGACACUCGUGCCCGUAAAAACCAUGAUGAGAUACCAUCUGAUGACAAAGAAUAAGAUGUUACAUUGGAGAAUAUUGUGGGGAUGGUAAAAUUGCAACAUCAACAAUUGAACGAGGUACGUGAUACAUUUGAGGCCAAUUUGACUACGUGUCAACAGAACUACAAGAGAACAUUAAUCAGCUUUCCAAUCAUAUUCAAUUGCUCACUCAAGCUGUUGCUCGUUUGGAGACUUCUUCAAAUCGACGAUCUCGUGCUCGUGAUAGUGAUCAUGAUAGGGAUAAUGAACAACUUCGUAUUCGUUCUAAUCCUAGUAGACACGAAUAUCGUCACAUUGAUGAAACUUUGGGUAUUUCUAAUCAAGGCCAUCCUUCUGUCGCUAAACCAAAGUUCAACAUUCCACCAUUCCAAGGAAAGUAUGAUCCAGAUGCAUAUUGCGAUUGGGAGGAUAAAAUGGAGAUCAUGUUCUGUUGUUAUAAGUGUCCGGAGGAGGAGAAAGUUCCAUUAGCUAUAUUGGCAUUUUCUGAUUAUGCAUUGAGUUGGUGGACUCAACUUGUGUUGAACCGCCAAAGGAAUUAUGAACGAGAUGUUGAUUCAUGGGAACAGUUGACACAAAUCAUGCGAAAACAUUUUAUCCCACCUCAUUAUUAUAGGGAUAUUAAACGAAGACUUCAACGCCUUGUUCAAGGUAAUCGAUCUGUUGAUGAGUACUUUAAAGAGAUGGAGAUGCUUAUGCAUAGAACAAAUAUCCAAGAAGAUGAGGAGACUACCAUGGUGCGGUUUGUAGAUGGUUUGAAUGUUUUGAUAGCCAAUGUUCUUGAUCUUCAAACCUACAUUGAUCUUGAAGAUACGGUACGUAAGGCAAUUGAGAUUGAGCGACAGUUUCAACAACGUCAAUCUCGUUCAUUUAGUACUUCACAAUAUUAUAGAGGUACGAGUUCUAAUUCUACUUUCAAGAAUUCGAAAUUUCCUUUUGCUACUAAUAAGUUGCUGCCAAAACAUGAUGAGACUAAAUCUUUUGAGGGGAAAAGUGGGGCUUCUACAAAACCUUCUUCAUCAUCUUUUAAGCAGUUCACUUCUACUACUUCACCAAAAAAACAAUGAGCUCGUGAAAUUGAAUGUUUUAAGUGCAAAGGGCGUGGGCACUAUAGCCGUGAUUGUGCCAACACAAGACUUUUGUUGAUCAAAGAAGAUGGUGAUUAUACUUCUGAUUCCGAUAAAACAGACCCAGAUAUGCCCGAAUUAAUUGAUGAUGUCAAUGAUUGCGGUAAAUUUUAUGGUGAAGAAGAGUUGGUGGAACCACUAACUCAUCCCCGAUGUUUAGUUGUGAGGCGCACACUCAACAUCCAAUUGAAGGAUGAUCAUGAUCUUCAACGGAGUAAUAUAUUCCAUUCGAGGUGUUUGAUUAAAGGUACAUUUUGCUCAUUUAUCAUUGAUAGUGGAAGUUGUGCUAACGUUGUGAGCAGCUACCUUGUGGAUUCUCUUGCUUUGCCAUGUAGCAAACACCCUACACCAUACCAUCUUCAAUGGCUUAAUGAAGGUUCGGAGGUCCGUGUGGUAAAACAGUGCUUGAUCACUUUUAAACUUGGGGCUUACAUUGAUGAUGUUUGGUGUGAUGUCGUUCCCAUGCAUGCCGCCCACUUGUUACUUGGUAGACCAUGGCAGUACGAUCGUGAUGUUAUUCAUCAUGGUAAAUUAAAUCGAUAUUCUUUUAUUUUUAGUGGAAAAAAGUACACUUUCACCCCUUUGAAUCCGAAAGAUAUUCACAAUGAUCAAAUCGACAUGAUGAAGUUUUGUAAGGAGGUUAUGGGAAGUAAGACACAAAAUUCAAAAAAGGUUGAGAGAAAAGAGGUCUCUAGUGAAAAGAGCCAAAUUAAUAAUGACCCAAUGGUGAGUGCAUCCUCUUGUGAGAAAAAAAGAGUGGUUCAUAAUUUUUAUGCGAGUGGAAAAGAUGUGCGACGAGCCUUACUCACUAAACAACCUUGCAUCAUUAUUCGAUUUAGGCAAAACUGUUUAUCUUUGACUAACCUUCAUAACUCUUUGCCUAGUGUUUUUAUGUCUCUUUUGCAGGAAUAUGAAGAUAUUUUUGAAGUAGCACCUAAAGGAUUGCCACCUUUGAGGGGUAUUGAGCAUCAAAUUGACUUAAUACCUGGGUCAAUAAUUCCAAAUCGACCAGCUUAUAGAAGCAAUCCCGAUGAGACGAAGGAGUUACAAAAGCAAGUAGAUGAACUUUUGGCGAAGGGUCACAUUCGUGAAAGUUUAAGUCCUUGUGCAGUGCCGGUAAUUCUGGUGCCAAAGAAAGAUGGUACGUAUAGAAUGUGCGUCGAUUGUCGACCAAUUAACCAAAUCACUAUUAAGUAUAGACAUCCUAUUCCAAGGCUUGAUGAUAUGUUUGAUGAACUUUAUGGUGCUUGUAUCUUUACAAAAAUUGAUUUUAAAAGUGGCUACCAUCAAAUUCGAAUGAAAGAGGGGGAUGAAUGGAAAACAGCAUUUAAAACUAAGUUUGGUUUAUAUGAAUGGUUAGUCAUGCCUUUCGGUUUGACUAAUGCACCUAGUACUUUCAUGCGCUUGAUGAACCAUGUUUUGAGACCUUAUUUGGGUAAAUUUGUGGUAGUAUAUUUUGAUGAUAUUCUGAUUUACUCAACUUCUUUAGAUGACCAUGUUUUUCAUGUUAAAUCAGUUUUGGAUAUUCUGCGAACUGAAAAAUUAUUUGCCAACCUUGAUAAAUGCACUUUUUGUUGUGAUAAACUAAUCUUUUUAGGUUUUAUAGUAAGUGCUCAAGGUAUUCAUGUCGAUGAGGACAAAGUAAAGGCAAUUAGAGAAUGGCCCACUCCUAAAUCAAUUACCGAGGUGAGAUCUUUCCAUGGUUUAGCAAGUUUUUAUAGACGUUUUGUGAAGGAUUUCUCCACUAUUGCUGCUCCAUUAACUGAGAUUAUUAAAAAAUCUGUGGGUUUUAAAUGGGAAGAAGUUCAGGAAAAGGCUUUUCAAACUUUAAAGGAUAAGUUAUGUUCUGCUCCGGUUCUUAAAUUACCUGAUUUUUCUAAUACUUUUGAACUUGAAUGUGAUGCUUCAGGUAUUGGAAUUGGUGCCGUGUUGAUGCAAGAAAAAAGGCCAAUUGCAUAUUUUAGUGAAAAACUGACAGGGGCACAAUUAAACUACUCAACUUAUGAUAAGGAGUUGUUGGCAUUAGUCCGAGCUCUACAAGUUUGGCAACAUUACUUGUUGCCAAAUGAGUUCGUUAUCCAUACAGAUCAUGAAUCCCUAAAAUGGUUAAAGGGACAAUGUAAGUUAAGUAAGAGACACGCUCGAUGGGUGGAAUUCAUAGAGACAUUUCCAUAUACAAUUAAGUAUAAAACAGGUAGAGAAAAUGUAGUUGCUGAUGCCUUAUCUCGUAGAUAUUCUUUGAUAACUACAUUAAAUGCUAAAGUCUUAGGGUUUGAACAUAUAAAAGAUUUAUACUUAAAUGAUAUUGAUUUUGCAAAUGUUUUUUCUAAUUGUGGGAAUGGUGCCUUUAACAAGUUUUAUAUUGUAGAUGGGUUUCUUUUUCGCCUAAACAGGUUAUGUGUUCCACAAUGUUCAAUGAGAGAGUUAUUAAUUCGUGAAGCACAUAGUGGAGGCCUCAUGGGACACUUUGGUGUCGCCAAAACACUAGAUAUUCUACAUGAACAUUUUUAUUGGCCGCACAUGAAAAAGGACGUUGAAAAGGUCUGUUCUAAUUGUAUUACUUGUAAACAAGCAAAAUCUAAGGUAAUGCCUCAUGGACUUUAUACUCCUUUACCGAUCCCUUCUUCGCCAUGGGUAGACUUAUCUAUGGAUUUCAUUCUUGGUUUACCACGAACAAAAAAGGGUCGAGAUAGUAUCUUUGUUGUUGUUGAUAGGUUUUCAAAGAUGGCUCACUUUAUUCCUUGUCACAAAACGGACGAUGCUACACAUGUGGCUGACUUGUUCUUUCGAGAGGUGGUGCGCCUACAUGGGAUACCUCGCACCAUUGUAUCGGACAGAGACGUAAAGUUCCUAAGCCACUUUUGGAAAGUAUUGUGGGGUAAGCUUGGUACUAAAUUAUUAUAUUCUACUACAUGUCACCCCCAAACAGAUGGACAAACUGAGGUAGUCAAUCGAGUCUUAGGUGCUUUACUACGAACUGUUGUGGGUAAGAACCUUAAAACUUGGGAAGAAUAUUUGCCAUUUGUUGAGUUUGCAUAUAACCGAUCUAUUCACUCUACAACUGCAUAUUCCCCAUUUGAACUUGUUUAUGAUUUUAAUCCACUAACUGUACUUGAUCUUGCACCAUUGCCUAUAGAAAACAUUUCUAGUUUAGACGGUGAGAAGAAAGCUGAAUAGGUGAAAUCCAUGCAUGCGAAAGCAAGACAACGAAUCGCCAAAACAAAUGAAACAACUGCCAACAAAGCUAACAAGUGGCGCAAGCAAAUUAUCUUUGAGCCCGGUGACUGGGUUUGGGUCCACAUGAGAAAAGAGCAAUUUCCAACUAAACGCAAAACAAAAUUGGACCCACGUGGCGAUGGACCUUUUCAAGUACUCAAGCGCAUUAAUGACAAUGCAUAUCAAAUCGACCUUCCCGGUGAGUAUAAUGUUAGUGCCACUUUUAAUGUCGCUGACCUUUCUCCUUUUGAUAUUGCAGAUUCGAGGGCGAAUCCUUUUGUGGAAGAGGGGAAUGAUACGAGUAACUCAGCCCAAUUCAAAGGCCAUAAUAGAGAUGAGUUAGUUUUCCUCAAGGCCCAAUUACGAGAUCCAAAUCCAAACAAAUAAAGUCAAAACUCAACUUAGUGGUUCAAGACUUUAUCACGAAAAAAAUUCAAGAAUAAGAGUUAAAGUUUCAAGACAAUAAAUUCUGGAGUAAUGAUGAAUUAGAAAAGACUAAUUAUGUUUGUGGGCCUAAACUCUCAAUCUAUGACGACAAGCCCAUGUGGAAAAUGCUAACAAGCUUAAACAUUUCACUUCAAGAACCCCAAUUGAUCUUACAAGCUUAGACAUUUCAUAUUGGGUUUAAGUUUUAGGCUUAAUUUUUAUUAUAUAUAAGCACAAUAUUUUGUUUAUUAGCUCUUAUUAUUUUAUUAUUAUUUUAUUCCGAAUUUUUUAUAAUUAUUAAGUAUUUUAAGUUAUUUAGGAAUUUUAUGUUAACAAGAAAGUUUAGUUUAAAACUACUUCUUGUUUAGAUUAAAUUAGAGUUCUAGUAUACUUAGGAGUUUUAUUUAGAUUUAUUUAUCUAGCCUAUAUAUAGGCCUUUGCAUUGUACACAGGGAGACAAUUGAUUAUUAUUCUAUUUCUCUUUUGAGUUAAUAAAUUCUCUUUGAGUUUUUUCUUUUCAAGAAUUUCUCUUGAGUUUCUUUUAGAAGAGUUUUAACAAUCUUUUUAGAUUGUGGGGAUCAUCUUCAAACUUUUUCUUGCCAAGGUUUGUAUCUUGGAGGGGAAAUUAGAGCCGCUUGAAGGGGGUUGUGGAUUCUUCGUGUUUCUAAGGCUUCUUAGGACUUCUACACGCCACGUUCUAUCUUUCCAUUUAUCUUCUUUAUUCACUUCCUGAAUCCUUGAUUUAUUAUUUGUUUUAAUUAUUUUAUCUAAUUUGGAUUUAAUUUCAUUUCAGGUUGUGUCAAGAAAAAUCCAAGUUUCUUUCCGAACGUCUAGAGCCCUAAGUCAAAUCCGCGACUUUGACAAACUUUACGAUCCGCUUUCGCGUUCAUCCUUCUCAACCUUUAUCAUUUGGUAUCAGAUUUGGGCGUUUUAGGUGUUCUUUUUUAAAUUGAUUUCUCGAAAACAGCUUCAAAACAAAUUUUACCCCUAUAGUUUUCAAAAAAAAUAUUUCUCAGUGGGUAAACGAUUUUCAAAUGAUCUAAAAUUUUGCAUACUAUUUCUUGGCACUAUUUUAAAGUAUAAAAAAAUAUUUCCCACAAAAAAAAGUGAUAAAAAAGUACAAAAAAAUACGAAAAAAAAAUAAAAAAAAUUUCGUGGGUUGAAUUUUGUGCCGAAACUUUCCAGAUCAAAUCUACAUUAUUUGAGGAGGCUUCAGUUUAAAUUUUGUGAUUUUUGGAAAUCGGGAACACCUUGAACGAAGUUUGUCUAGUUGCUUCGCAGUUUUUCGGGUUUUCGGGUUUCAACAAUUUUCAUUGACUCUUAGCUUUAAGUAUUCAUUUGUUUUCCUUUUUAUUUGUUCCUUACGCAUUCUAACACUUUCUUGUUUCUUGUGUUAGUAGGUUAAAGCACGUUGCAUAUUCCUUCAUCCGUGCAACAAAAUUCUUUGAUGUCUAAGCAAAUUUUGGACUCAUAGUGCUAUUAGGUUUGCUUUGAUGUUUGAUUCUAAAACAUCUUGAUUGAUUGAUAUAGACACUUUUAAAAGACUCACAAGAUUAAUUCUUACCUCAUUGAGAUUUUUUUUUUGAGUGCAUAUAGGUGAGGUUUGCUUAAUUUUUUCUUUUGAAGUGUUGUGCUUUUCCAGGCUUUCACUAUGACUCGUGACACUCGUGCCCGUAAAAACCAUGAUGAGAUACCAUCUGAUGACAAAGAAUAAGAUGUUACAUUGGAGAAUAUUGUGGGGAUGGUAAAAUUGCAACAUCAACAAUUGAACGAGGUACGUGAUACAUUUGAGGCCAAUUUGACUACGUGUCAACAGAACUACAAGAGAACAUUAAUCAGCUUUCCAAUCAUAUUCAAUUGCUCACUCAAGCUGUUGCUCGUUUGGAGACUUCUUCAAAUCGACGAUCUCGUGCUCGUGAUAGUGAUCAUGAUAGGGAUAAUGAACAACUUCGUAUUCGUUCUAAUCCUAGUAGACACGAAUAUCGUCACAUUGAUGAAACUUUGGGUAUUUCUAAUCAAGGCCAUCCUUCUGUCGCUAAACCAAAGUUCAACAUUCCACCAUUCCAAGGAAAGUAUGAUCCAGAUGCAUAUUGCGAUUGGGAGGAUAAAAUGGAGAUCAUGUUCUGUUGUUAUAAGUGUCUGGAGGAGGAGAAAGUUCCAUUAGCUAUAUUGGCAUUUUCUGAUUAUGCAUUGAGUUGGUGGACUCAACUUGUGUUGAACCGCCAAAGGAAUUGUGAACGAGAUGUUGAUUCAUGGGAACAGUUGACACAAAUCAUGCGAAAACAUUUUAUCCCACCUCAUUAUUAUAGGGAUAUUAAACGAAGACUUCAACGCCUUGUUCAAGGUAAUCGAUCUGUUGAUGAGUACUUUAAAGAGAUGGAGAUGCUUAUGCAUAGAACAAAUAUCCAAGAAGAUGAGGAGACUACCAUGGUGCGGUUUGUAGAUGGUUUGAAUGUUUUGAUAGCCAAUGUUCUUGAUCUUCAAACCUACAUUGAUCUUGAAGAUACGGUACGUAAGGCAAUUGAGAUUGAGCGACAGUUUCAACAACGUCAAUCUCGUUCAUUUAGUACUUCACAAUAUUAUAGAGGUACGAGUUCUAAUUCUACUUUCAAGAAUUCGAAAUUUCCUUUUGCUACUAAUAAGUUGCUGCCAAAACAUGAUGAGACUAAAUCUUUUGAGGGGAAAAGUGGGGCUUCUACAAAACCUUCUUCAUCAUCUUUUAAGCAGUUCACUUCUACUACUUCACCAAAAAAACAAUGAGCUCGUGAAAUUGAAUGUUUUAAGUGCAAAGGGCGUGGGCACUAUAGCCGUGAUUGUGCCAACACAAGACUUUUGUUGAUCAAAGAAGAUGGUGAUUAUACUUCUGAUUCCGAUAAAACAGACCCAGAUAUGCCCGAAUUAAUUGAUGAUGUCAAUGAUUGCGGUAAAUUUUAUGGUGAAGAAGAGUUGGUGGAACCACUAACUCAUCCCCGAUGUUUAGUUGUGAGGCGCACACUCAACAUCCAAUUGAAGGAUGAUCAUGAUCUUCAACGGAGUAAUAUAUUCCAUUCGAGGUGUUUGAUUAAAGGUACAUUUUGCUCAUUUAUCAUUGAUAGUGGAAGUUGUGCUAACGUUGUGAGCAGCUACCUUGUGGAUUCUCUUGCUUUGCCAUGUAGCAAACACCCUACACCAUACCAUCUUCAAUGGCUUAAUGAAGGUUCGGAGGUCCGUGUGGUAAAACAGUGCUUGAUCACUUUUAAACUUGGGGCUUACAUUGAUGAUGUUUGGUGUGAUGUCGUUCCCAUGCAUGCCGCCCACUUGUUACUUGGUAGACCAUGGCAGUACGAUCGUGAUGUUAUUCAUCAUGGUAAAUUAAAUCGAUAUUCUUUUAUUUUCAGUGGAAAAAAGUACACUUUCACCCCUUUGAAUCCGAAAGAUAUUCACAAUGAUCAAAUCGACAUGAUGAAGUUUUGUAAGGAGGUUAUGGGAAGUAAGACACAAAAUUCAAAAAAGGUUGAGAGAAAAGAGGUCUCUAGUGAAAAGAGCCAAAUUAAUAAUGACCCAAUGGUGAGUGCAUCCUCUUGUGAGAAAAAAAGAGUGGUUCAUAAUUUUUAUGCGAGUGGAAAAGAUGUGCGACGAGCCUUACUCACUAAACAACCUUGCAUCAUUAUUCGAUUUAGGCAAAACUGUUUAUCUUUGACUAACCUUCAUAACUCUUUGCCUAGUGUUUUUAUGUCUCUUUUGCAGGAAUAUGAAGAUAUUUUUGAAGCAGCACCUAAAGGAUUGCCACCUUUGAGGGGUAUUGAGCAUCAAAUUGACUUAAUACCUGGGUCAAUAAUUCCAAAUCGACCAGCUUAUAGAAGCAAUCCCGAUGAGACGAAGGAGUUACAAAAGCAAGUAGAUGAACUUUUGGCGAAGGGUCACAUUCGUGAAAGUUUAAGUCCUUGUGCAGUGCCGGUAAUUCUGGUGCCAAAGAAAGAUGGUACGUAUAGAAUGUGCGUCGAUUGUCGACCAAUUAACCAAAUCACUAUUAAGUAUAGACAUCCUAUUCCAAGGCUUGAUGAUAUGUUUGAUGAACUUUAUGGUGCUUGUAUCUUUACAAAAAUUGAUUUUAAAAGUGGCUACCAUCAAAUUCGAAUGAAAGAGGGGGAUGAAUGGAAAACAGCAUUUAAAACUAAGUUUGGUUUAUAUGAAUGGUUAGUCAUGCCUUUCGGUUUGACUAAUGCACCUAGUACUUUCAUGCGCUUGAUGAACCAUGUUUUGAGACCUUAUUUGGGUAAAUUUGUGGUAGUAUAUUUUGAUGAUAUUCUGAUUUACUCAACUUCUUUAGAUGACCAUGUUUUUCAUGUUAAAUCAGUUUUGGAUAUUCUGCGAACUGAAAAAUUAUUUGCCAACCUUGAUAAAUGCACUUUUUGUUGUGAUAAACUAAUCUUUUUAGGUUUUAUAGUAAGUGCUCAAGGUAUUCAUGUCGAUGAGGACAAAGUAAAGGCAAUUAGAGAAUGGCCCACUCCUAAAUCAAUUACCGAGGUGAGAUCUUUCCAUGGUUUAGCAAGUUUUUAUAGACGUUUUGUGAAGGAUUUCUCCACUAUUGCUGCUCCAUUAACUGAGAUUAUUAAAAAAUCUGUGGGUUUUAAAUGGGAAGAAGUUCAGGAAAAGGCUUUUCAAACUUUAAAGGAUAAGUUAUGUUCUGCUCCGGUUCUUAAAUUACCUAAUUUUUCUAAUACUUUUGAACUUGAAUGUGAUGCUUCAGGUAUUGGAAUUGGUGCCGUGUUGAUGCAAGAAAAAAGGCCAAUUGCAUAUUUUAGUGAAAAACUGACAGGGGCACAAUUAAACUACUCAACUUAUGAUAAGGAGUUGUUGGCAUUAGUCCGAGCUCUACAAGUUUGGCAACAUUACUUGUUGCCAAAUGAGUUCGUUAUCCAUACAGAUCAUGAAUCCCUAAAAUGGUUAAAGGGACAAUGUAAGUUAAGUAAGAGACACGCUCUAUGGGUGGAAUUCAUAGAGACAUUUCCAUAUACAAUUAAGUAUAAAACAGGUAGAGAAAAUGUAGUUGCUGAUGCCUUAUCUCGUAGAUAUUCUUUGAUAACUACAUUAAAUGCUAAAGUCUUAGGGUUUGAACAUAUAAAAGAUUUAUACUUAAAUGAUAUUGAUUUUGCAAAUGUUUUUUCUAAUUGUGGGAAUGGUGCCUUUAACAAGUUUUAUAUUGUAGAUGGGUUUCUUUUUCGCCUAAACAGGUUAUGUGUUCCACAAUGUUCAAUGAGAGAGUUAUUAAUUCGUGAAGCACAUAGUGGAGGCCUCAUGAGACACUUCGGUGUCGCCAAAACACUAGAUAUUCUACAUGAACAUUUUUAUUGGCCGCACAUGAAAAAGGACGUUGAAAAGGUCUGUUCUAAUUGUAUUACUUGUAAACAAGCAAAAUCUAAGGUAAUGCCUCAUGGACUUUAUACUCCUUUACCGAUCCCUUCUUCGCCAUGGGUAGACUGAUCUAUGGAUUUCAUUCUUGGUUUACCACGAACAAAAAAGGGUCGAGAUAGUAUCUUUGUUGUUGUUGAUAGGUUUUCAAAGAUGGCUCACUUUAUUCCUUGUCACAAAACGAACGAUGCUACACAUGUGGCUGACUUGUUCUUUCGAGAGGUGGUGCGCCUACAUGGGAUACCUCGCACCAUUGUAUCGGACAGAGACGUAAAGUUCCUAAGCCACUUUUGGAAAGUAUUGUUCGUUCUUGAAGAAAUUCUCAGGGUCUAUCUUGGCUUUCACACCCGUCAGCCUCAUAAAAUUGUUCCUGAAAUACUUUGCUCCGUAUUCCUUCGCAACCUCAAAAUCCGUCUCGCCGCUUUCGUUGCUACCGACGUCGAGGUCUCGGUAAUUGAAAAACACUUCCCUCGGGUUGCUCGACGCAUACGGGGCCAUCGCAUUGUACAACCUCCUUGACAACUCGACAUAACGCCCUGUGGCGUUGAUCCCUCCGUCGGACUCGGACCAUUGGAUCCCGUACUGUGCCU